rnacentral:lncRNA from 1 species
AACUCCAUCACUUCCAGGUCCACUUAAUCAGUCUUAUUUAUGAUUGCUUAAUGCUUCCUAUGAAGCUUUCAAGCUAUGAGAAUAGCUUACAUAUAUUUUUCGUGAAAAAAUUCAGUACAUAUGCCAAUCAAUCUCUCGGCACUACUAAUUGUAGCUGAUAACCUUUUGCUGCUACAUUGUCUCACUGUAAUAUAUAUCAGUUGCUUAUGAUCUUUCAACAACUUUUAUUUCCAACAGAAAAUAAGAAUUAGAACUAUAUUGAAACAAUGUAUGAAUUACUGAAGCAACAUCCUUUUAUUAAACAUUCAAUUCAACCAAGUGCAGCGACUGGCUAAACACAAAACCAAAAUUACUAUUUACCAUCACGAUAAUAACCAAUAUGCAUAACUAUGCUAUAUACUUUUACUACUCCCACUAGUUCAACAAAUCUAGGGUUGCAGUCACUCCCAUACUGACUGUAUGCUUGUGAAAAACUGCAUUUGGUAAUACCUUAGUGAGUGGAUCAGUAAGCAUUGCAUGAGUGUCAAUGUAAUCAACCUUGAUCUCUCCAGACUUCACUUUCUUCCUUGUCAAUGGAUAUUUGGUGUUCAAGUGCUUAGUUCCUAGAAACCUUUUAUUAUUUUUAGAAUAAAAGACAUCAACUUUAUUAUCACACCAAAUUUGAACAGGCUUUGCAAUUGAAUUCAUGAUCUCGAGACUGCUGUGAAAUUUCUCAGCCAUAUAGUCUGUGAUGUAGCUUCAUAACAAGCUACAAACUCAUCUUGCAUAGUGGAAGUGGCAACAAUAUCUUGUUUCAUACUCUUCCAUGACACAACCUCAUUUGACAAUGUGAAUAUAUAACUUGAAGUUGACUUAAGUGAAUUAAGGCAGCAUGCAAAAUCUGAGUCAUUAUAGCCUCAUUAUAGCCUACUAGUUCGAGUUUUGAAUCCCUUUUGUAUACUAGCUAAUAUUCUUUUGUUAUUUGCAAGUAUCUCAAAACUUUCUUGGCAGCUAUCCAUUGUGCAUUGCCAUGAUUAGACUGAAACCUUCGCAAUAUGCUAAUAGCAUAUGCAAUCAAGUCUAGUACAUACAUGUGCAUACAUGAGACUCCCAACGAGAGAAGCAUAAGGUUUACUAGCCAUUUCUUUCUUCUCAAAAUCAGUCUUAGGGCACUGAUCCUUACUGAGCUUUUCUCCCUUUGUCAUGGGAACAUCACAGCCAUUCGAGUCUUCCAUGUUGAACCUUUUGAGGACAUUUUCAAUGUAUGCUUUCUGUGAUAAACCAAGUAGUCAUCUACUUCGAUCCCUUGUGAUCUGAUUACCAAGAACAAAGGCUGCAUCUUCCAUAUCCUUUAUCUCAAAACGUUUAGACAUAAAUCUCUUGGUGUCACUUAGUAGUGAUGCAUUAUUGCAUGUUAACAAUAUGUCAUCCAUGUAAAUGAUGAGAAAAAUAAAAUAGUUUCCAUUCCUUUUCAUGUAAACACACUCAUCACUAGGGCUCUCUUCGAAACUAUAUGAUGAAACAACCUCAUCAAACUUCAAAUACCACUGCCUCGAGGCCUAUUUCAAUCCAUAAAUGGAUUUGUUAAGUUUAUAGACCAAAUUCUCUCUCUUUUCUUAAAUGAAACCCUCUGGUUGCUUCAUGUAGAUCUCUUCCUCAAGGUUUUCAUUCAAGAAUGCAGUCUUAACAUCCAUUCGAUGCAAUAGUAGAUUGAAGUGAGCCACUAGUGCUAUGAUUACUUUAAAAGAGUCUUUUGUAGAGACUGGGGAGAAGGUUUCAUUGUAAUUAAUUCAUUCUUGCUGAGUAUAUCCCUUAGCUACAAGUCUAGCUUUGUAUCUCUCGAUAUCACCCUUAGAGUCCCUCUUAGUCUUAUAAACCCACUUGCAACCUAUUGGUUUGCAUCCUUGUGGUAGGUCAACCAACUCCCACACUUUGUUUUUAUUCAUGGAGUCCAAUUCUGAUUGCAUAGCUUCUUGCCAAUAUGCAUUGUUGAGACUCUCAAUUGCCUUCCUGAAGUUUAAUGGAUCUUCUUCUUGGUUACUGAACUUAGCCUCUUGCAAAUACACAAGGAAAUCAUCUGAUAUUGCAGGCUUUCUUGUAUGAGUGGUUCUUUUGGUUUCCAUGUGUAUAGGCUCAAGGUUCUCUUCUUGAAUGGCUGGUGCAUUGUUCAACUGCACAAGUUCUACUGCAAUAAUCUCUUCUUGUUGAACAACUUGUGUUGGUUUUGCAACUCGGUCACUUUGCAUUGGAAUUGGUAUAACAACUUCAUCUGUCACAGCAUCGCCUAGGUUUUCCUUUUUUAUUGCUUUGGUCUCUUUAUUCCAAUCAAGAUUCUCCUCCUACUCAUCAUCAUUAGUUUCUUCAAUGAACUUGGCUCUUCCAGUUUCAAUGAAUCUUGAAGUAUGAUUGGGACAAUAAAACAUGUAACCCUUGGUUCUUUCUGGAUACCCUACAAAGAAGCAUGUGAUUGUUCUAGGGUUCAACUUAUUCUCCAUUGGAUUGUAUGCUCUUGCUUCUGCAGUGCAUCCCCAAAUUUUCAAAUGAUUUAGCACUGGUUUUCUGUUAGUCCAUAACUCAAAUGGUGUCUUAGGGACAAACUUGCUAGGGACCUUAUUUAACAAGUAGUUUGCAGUUUUGAUUGCUUAUCCCUAAAGAAAGGUAGACAGUUUUGAAUUACUCAUCAUACUUCUCACCAUCUCGAUCAAGGUUCUAUUUUUUCUUUCACUAACUCCAUUUUGCUCAGGGGUGCCUGGAUUGGUGUAUUAAGCAACAAUUCCAUGUUCUUGUAGAAACAAUGCAAAAUGACCAGGCUGUCUUCCAGAUUCACUAAACUUUCCAUAAUACUCUCCACCCUUAUCAGACCUUACUACCUUGAUUUUGUAGUUUAAUUGAUUCUCCACUUCUGCUUUAUAAAUUUUGAAAGCAGCAAAGGCACUAGACUUCUCAGCCAACAAGUAUACAUACCAAAACCUAGAAAAAUCAUAUGUGAAUGUAAUGAAAUACUUGUAGCCAUUGUGUGUUUAUGUUGGAAAAAGUCCACAGAUGUCUGUGUGGAUUAGUUCUAGCAACUUUGUACUUCUAGUUGAACCCUUCUUUUUCUUGUUUAUCAAUUUUCCCUUAAUGCAGUUAGUACAAAUUUUGAAAUCACCGCAAAAUUUGUUCCCUAGUUAAUCUUUGCAUUCUUUCUUUUGAAAUAUGCCCUAAUAUCUUGUGCCAUAACUUGGAUGAGGUGUCGUUUGUCUGUGCUCGUUUGUGCCCUAUUAUGUUAACCACACUUGUUGGUAUAUUGCAGUUAAGCUUGAACAUGGCACCAACCAAUACUCCACCACCAAUUAAAUUGGAACUUCGAAAUAUUGAAAAACCAUUCUCAUUAACAAGCCUACUAACUGAGACUAAGUUCCUUCUCAUGGAAGGUAAAUAAGCAACAUCAACCAAAUCUAGCAAAAAACCAGAAAAUAAUCCAAGCCUAACUACUCCAAUGAGCUCCAUUGCAACUCUAGCUCCAUUACUCACGAAUAUUUUUUUAUUUUUUUUAUUUUUUUAUUACUUACGAACAUUGACACCUCAUCCUUGUUUGGCACCCUUUUACUAAUGUACCCUUGCAAUGAGUUUGUCACAUGAAUUGUAGCACCAGUAUCAAGCCACCAAGUAUCAUAAGAUAUCUCAACCAAGUUUGAUUAAAAACAAAUUGAAAUUUUAUGCACCAUACCUUUGUUUUUCUUACUCUCUUUGUUUUCCUUCCAGCGUUUAUACCUAGUGCACUCAUUUUUCAGAUGUCCUAUCUUCUUGCAAAAGAAACAUUUCAUUCUAACACCCUUAUGAAUUCUUAGAUGGUUAUUGCCCUUAUUGACCCUUCAUGCAGAUCUUUUGUUGUUUUUCUGUGGAAGGUUGUCUUUCUCAUUAAGAGGAUUGACAUUAUCCACUGCAUUGACUUGUUUCUUUCCCUUAUCUAGUCGAAUAUUUUGUUCUUCAUGCACACAUAGCAAUCAACUCGUUCAGGUCCUAUUUUUCUUUCUAAGCUAUGUAAGUACUCUUCAACUAAGAGUACUCGGGAGGUAAGGAAUUGUGUGCAAGAUGCACUAGAAAAUGGUCAUCUAUUUUGAUGUUAAAUGCAUUGAGCUUUGCAGUUGCAUCAACCAUUGAGAGAAUGUGCUUUCUUACAUCACCACCAAGGUACUUAGUGGUUAUAAGAGUAUUCAUGAGUGUUCCAAUUUCUGCCUUCUCGGAUUCUUUGAACUUUGCUUCAAUGGAGUCAAGGUAUGCCUUAGCAUUAUCUGAUUCAGUGAUUACCCUUCGAACUAGAUCAGACAUUGAUCUUUUGAUUACCAGCAACGCCAUUCUGUUAGCCUUAAUCUACUUCUCAUACUCAUUCUUCUUUUUUGCAGUUGUAUCUUCAAUAGGCUUGGUUGAUUCAUUCUCUCUUAAAGCUAGAUCGAAAUCCAUGAGCCCUAGAGUUAUUUUGAUAUCUUGCCUACAUUUCUUACAGUUGGUUCCAUUGAAUGUUUGAAUUGAAUUCAGGGAGCUAAUUACUGAAAGAUUUUCAAAUGAAAAUAAGCAUUCAAGACUCUAUAUUUUGUAUAACUGAAACAACUUAACCUUUGUUCGGUUUUUCAAGCUUAAUCAAUAUCAGUGCAAAACAAAUAAGUUGCAUAAGUAAUAGUACAACAUGAAAGCCAUCCACCUUUGUUUGGCAAUUAACUUUUACAACUCAUGCAUCUUAUAUGUUCUCACUGAGCUAUUAGUAACCUAACCAAUGUCGAUUAGUCACACCUUUAUUUGGGGAUAUAACCUCAUUGUUAUGGCUGCUGAUACAAGCUGAUCAAUUUAAACCUUGAAUUUUUAGCAGUUCUUGAAUGAUUGGGACGAAUUUGUUGUGUUUCAAUCAUUCAAUUACAUCUCAAAAACAUUGAUCAUGAUGUAACUUUCAGCAUGUUAUGAACCUUAAAACCUUUGAUUAUCAACCAUGCUUAACAAUCAAGACUUCUACAGCAAACAAUCUCUUAGUUUUAAUAGGCCAACGAUAAUUCUUUACAUCAAUCAUGUAUGGUAAACAUUUCUAACGACAAUUUAGGGUUUCUGUGGAUGUAUGCACAACAUUCAUGACUCUUGUUUGUAGUUCUUUUAUGCAUAUUACUUAGUCCUAUAUUUAGUCGAGAUUAUUAUAGAUAUGCAAGGAAAGUAUCUCAAGACUUCACACAUGCAAGUAUUAAUUAUAGCAGCAGAAAAGAAACCAGAAUCGAAAUUUAAAGAAACAUCAAUUCAUUCAUGUUGCAUGCAUGAUUUCGAGUAUGUCAGUUCUUUAUGGAUUUUAAUUACAUAAACGUUGGCUCUAAUACCAAUUGUUAAACAUGAUAACUGUUAAACAUAAUAUGUUUAUGUACCAUUAAAACACCAUAGAACUAACCUUGAGAAGUCAGCUUCAUAGCACGGCAAGAACUGCAAUUGUAGCAAGUUAUCCUCGAACACCCUAGACUUUGAAGGUUGGUCUUCUACACACUCACCACCACUACAUUACUCAAACAUAUGGGAAAUUCUACAAGUAUGUGUAUCAGUGGUGUUUGCAGGGACCUUCCCUUAGUAUUUAUACUACUUCAACCAUAGCAUACAUUCUCAUAAUCAUACGCUAGGAUUCCUUAUUAUACAAGGAUAUAAUCUACCAAAUCUCAAUCCAAAUAGGAUAAUAUCAAGAGCCCUUAUUCUCUAAUUAUAAUCGAGUUAUAUACCUUGUUGAUGCACAAAAUCAGCGAGGACUUUGGUACAACAGAAAGUGUUAAGUUUGUGACAUUCGCUAGAUUGCUCCGGUCACUAGUGUGGAUAAGUAAGUAAAUGGAUAGGGACAGGGAAGCAAACACAAGAUGUACGUGGUUCACCCAGAUUGGCUACGUCCACGGAGUAGAGGAGUUCUCAUUAAUUGUGAAGGGUUUACACGAGUACAUAGGUUCAAGCUCUCCUUUAAUGAGUACUAAUGAAUGAUUUAGUACAAAUGACAUUAGGAAAUAUUGUGAGAGAAUGAUCUCUAUUUAUAGAAGAGAGUUUCUAGUUUCAUUCUGACAUUGACACAUGUCGUGUUGUGAUUGGCUUCUGAUGUUGACAUGUGUCGCGCUAUGAUUCGCUUCUGAUGUCGACACGUGUCGCGCUGUGAUUGGCCUCCUGAUUUGAGGGAAACUCUUCUGGGUCCUUGACAGUAUAACGUUGACCGGUGCUCAGUAGUUUCAUGAUUGGUCAAGUAUGGUACAAACAGUGCUCCCCCAAGUUCCCAAGUGAGGGAAGCUCCUCGAUUGGGGACUUGCAAGAUCCAAGCCAUUGAGUAAUCACGAAACUUCUAAGUACUCAAGUGUGGUAUCAUUUUCACUUGCCUUAUCUGUCUCAUAUGUAGAUGUGGUAUCUUCUCUAGAAGUACUUUUCCUCCAUCCAGAGGUGGUAUCUUUAAUCGAUGAAGAUGCACAAGGUAAUGUAUCAAUUUCACUUGAAGCUUACUUGUAGUUUCGGGCUUAGUCAAGUGCGAUACAAACCCUAUAGUAAGAGUCCCCCAAGUCGCCGAGCUAGGAGAUUUGCUGAAGGAGGUAACAGACAAGGUAAUCAAUCAGACUUCCAAACAAGCAACCUGGAUCAGAGGUUCGACUUCGGCUUCCGGUUGAUUGUUCUCAUUCUCCUUGUGUCGUAAACAGCAACAAGGAUAAGGAGAAGCAAAUGGAGAAGAGAUGAUAUGAGAUACUUUUGCUUUUGAAGAAGUAACUUUCCACAGUCUUAUUCUUGAACUUGGCUGGAGGGUUUUCUGGUUUCCUUCAGAGUAUAAGGCCGACUCAAGAAUUUGUAGGUCAAAACAAGUCCAUAAAAUCUAGAGUAUGUUCGACCCUGAUGAUAUGGGAUACUUUUGCUGUUGACAAAGUAAUGGAUGUAUCGGCACGUGUUCUGUUACACUUGUCUCCACAUGCUUCCUUGUAUCCUUCUCAUUUGCCCUAUCUGUUCCUCAGGCAGAUGUGGUAUCUUCUCUAGAAGCAUAAAAUGUUGAAGAUGAGUACUUGAGAGCAAUGCCAGGUAAGUAAUCAGGCAAGGGGUUCCAGGCAGUUAGUUCCUGACUGGAAGCUUGAUUCCAAGUGCUGACUGAUUGCUCUCUUUCUCCUUGUCUUGCAGGUAAGAACAAGGCCAAAGGAAAGGACAGGGAAAAAGCAUGAUAUGGGAUACUCUUGCUUUUAACCCUGAUGAUAUGAGAUACUCUUGCUUUAGUGUGGCUUGUUUGCAGAGGUAUUAUCGGGAGGAAAAUAAGCUGAGUAUUUCGAGAGACCCUGCUGAGAGUGCCCUCUCGGAUGUGAAGAAAAGUUGAGCAUUUUUUUUAUUUGCAGGUCUGCCUGGCUGUGGAGGAUGGAGGUCGACAUAUAUAGGAGUCUCCCUAAUAACAAGUAGUUGUGCUAUUCCUUUACCCUUCUUGGUCAUAGCAAUGUAGUAGGAGUUGCAAGCUUUACGUGUUUUAACUUUGUUAGAGCACUUUGAAAAUGUGGUUUGUGGUAUCUAGAAAGCUGAUGUUGCAUGUGAAGAUUGCAGACAAGCUUUAUCCAAGGAAAUCUGGCUCUCGAAGUUUGGAGAGCGGUGCCUCUUCGGUUUUCGAACAAGCAAUCAUGUCGGGGAUCUGGCUAUCGAGAUUCAAAGAAUGGUGCCUCUUCGAUUUUUGAGAAAGCAAUCAUGUUGGGAGUCUGACUCUUGAGAUUAUGAGAGCAGUGUCUCUUCGAUUUUUGAGAAAGUAAUCCUGUUGGGAGUCUGGCUCUCGAGAUUUGGAGGGCGAUGCCUCUUCGAUUUUUGAGUACGCAAUCUUAUUAGGAGUAUUUUCUCGAAUAUGAGUAAAGGUUGGGCAUUUUUGCUAGUUUGCCUUGCCACGGAGCACCGAGGUUGACACACAUUAAGACUUUCUAGUUAUCAAGCAGUGGUGCUGUUCCUUUACCCUUAUGGGGAAUAGUAGGGUAGCUGGACCUUCAAAAUUUAUGUGUCUAAACUUUGUCAGAGAUCUUUGGCAAAGUUAUCUGUGGUACCCGAUGAGCUGAUGUUGCGUGUGGAAAGUGGUGCCUCUUCGAAAUCCGGAGAGUGGUGCCUCUUCGAUUUUUGAACCAACGGCCUUGUUGCCCUUUCUUUUAUAAGGGCACCAAUUUUGUGUAAGAAGUACAUUCAGAGAGUUAUUGCUUAUAGGAAUUUUCCCCUUACUUUAGAGAUUUAUUGCACCUCAUUUCUCCUUCAUCAUUUCUGAGAAUGUCUGGCCCAUCCGAUCGUCGUUUUGACUUGAACUUUGGUGAAGAGGCAGCCAUGCCUUCUCAAGACAACAUAUGACGUUCAUCCUUCUUAUCCCCUGCUGGUCCUUUUACCGUUGGGGACUCUGUAAUGAAGAAUGAUAUGACCGCUGCGGUGGUGGCCAUGAACCUUCUCACUCCCAAAGAUAACAGACUACUUUUCAAACGAUCUGAUGAAUUGGCUGUUAAGGAUUCUCUGACUCUCAAUGUUCAGUGUGCAGGUUCUGUGUCUAAUAUGGCCCAACACCUAUUUGCUCGAACCCGCCAAGUUGAAUCAUUGGCGGCUGAAGUGAUAAGUCUCAAACAGGAGAUCAGAGGGCUCAAGCAUGAGAAUAAACAGUUGCACAAGCUCGCACAUGACUAUGCUACAAACAUGAAGAGGAAGCUCGACCAGCUGCAGAAAUCUGAUGGUCAGAUUUUACUUGAUCAUCAGAGGUUUGUGAGUUUGUUCCAAAGACAUUUAUUGCCUUCGUCUUCUGGGGCUGUACCACAUAAUAAAGCUCUAAAUGAUCAACCUUCGGUGCCUCCUUAUUCUGGGGUUCUGCCUAGUACUGAGGCUCCAAAUAAUCACCCUCUGGUGCCUCAUCUUUCUGGGGCUCUGCCGACUGCUAAGACUUCUCCUGAGCAACCUUUGUGAAUGCUCCCUUUUGUUUGUUUAUUUUGAUUCAUGUAUAUGUACAUAUUUUUAACUUAUCGGAUAUAUCAAUAAACAAGCUUUGCUUCAUUUCAACGUAUUGUGUUAAAUACACCAAGGCCUUCUUCACUAAGUUUUUUGAAUUUUUCCUUUUGUUGAAUCUUGUAUGUUAAAGCUUUAUGAGUGAAGCAUGUAGGUUGAGGUAGUGCUUCCUUAAUUUCCCGAGUGAGGAAAACUUCUCGGUUUGAGACUUGAAAAAAUCCAAGUCACUGAGUGGUCGUGAGACUUCCGAGUAUCAAGGUGCAGUAGCAUAUGGUAGGAGUCCCCCAAGUCUCCGGUUGAGGGAGUUGACGAAAGAGGUGUCUUGCUAGUAGCCAAGUUUCCAAAGUAACAAAACUUCACCAUUUUCCUUUCUAAGUGGUAGCCCAAAACUCCUCCUUCAUAUAUAUUUGUUAUGAAAGUUGUUAGGCCCAAAGAAAAGAAUGCCUAGACAAUUUUUUUUUUUCAAUUUUCGAAUUUUCGAAUUUUUGAAUUAAAAUUUCCGAAUAUAUAUAUAUAUAUAUAUUUUAAGCUUUAUAGGUGAAGCUUUGUAGGUUGAAGCUUUGUUGGGUACCAUGAAUUGAUUUUGCUUCACACUAUCUUGAUCAAGAUAGUGUGAAGUUUUUGUAGGUGAAGCUUUUGUGUUGAAGCUUUGUAGGUGAAGCUUUUGUAGGUCAAGCUUUUGCGGGUGAAGCUUUUGUGGUGGGUGAAGCUUUUGUUGGUGAAGUUUUUGUGGUGGGGGAAGCUUUUGUGGUGGAUGAAGCUCUUGUGGGUAAAGCUUUUGUGGGUAAAGCUUUUAUGGGUGAAGCUUUUGUAGGUGAAGCUUUUGUGGUUGGUGAAGUUUUUGUGGGUGAAGCUUUUGUGGUGGGUGAAGCUUUUGUUGGUGAAACUUUUAUGGGUGAAGCUUUUGUAGGUGAAGUUUUUAUGGUGGGUGAAACUUUUAUGGGUGAAGCUUUUAUGGGCGAAGCUUUUGUGGGUGAAACUUUUGUAGGUGAAACUUUGGAGUUGAAGCUUUGUAGGUGAAGCUUUGGAGUUGAAACUUUGUAGGUGAAGCUUUGGAGUUGAAUCUUUUGUUGGGUACCAUGAAUUGAUUUUGCUUCACACUAUCUUGAUCAAGAUAGUGUGAAGCUUUUGAGAAUUUGUAGUUGUCCUCUAUUGAUGAAGCUUUUGUUGGUGAAGCUUUGUUGGGUACCACGAAUUGAUUUUGCUUCACACUAUCUUGAUCAAGAUAGUGUGAAGCUUUUGAGAAUUUGUAGUUGUCCUCCAUUGAUGAAGCUUUGUUGAAUUUCCUUUUUUUUUUUUUGGGAAACUAGAAAUUUGAAAAUGUGGGAGAUACAACAUAUACAAAUUUUGCUUCCACAUUGUUGAGCAAGAGAUUGUUAUGCAAGCCACACCUUAUAGUAGUCGAAGGUUUGGAUGAACCAUAUAAAUUGAAUUUGCUUCGAACAGUCUUGGAUUUGCUUCGAAGGUUUGAGAAUUGUAGUUGCCCUCCAUUGAUGAAGCUUUAGUUGGCACCAUAAAUUGGUUUUGCUUCGCACUGUCUUGAUCAAGAGUGUGUGAAGCUUUUGAGAAUUGUGGUUGCCCUCCAUUGAUAAAGCUCUUAUUGGCAUCAUAAAUUGGUUUUGCUUCACACUAUCUUGAUCAAGAGUGUGUGAAGCUUUUGAGAAUUGUGGUUAAACUUCUUUGAUGAAGCUUUUGUUAGCACUAUAAAUUGGUUUUGCUUCACACUAUCUUGAUCAAGAGUGUGUGAAGCUUUUGAGAAUUGUGGUUGCCCUUCAUUGAUGAAGCUCUUGUUGGCACUAUAAAUUGGUUUUGCUUCACACUGUCUUGAUCAAGAGUGUGUGAAGCUUUUGAGAAUAGUGGUUGAACUCCUUUGAUGAAGCUUUUGUUGGCACCAUAAAUUGGUUUUGUUUCACAAUGUCUUGAUCAAGAGUGGUGAAGCUUUUAAGAAUUGUGGUUGCCCUCCAUUGAUGAAGCUCUUGUUGGCACCAUAAUUUGGUUUUGCUUCACACUGUCUUGAUCAAGAGUGUGUAAAGCUUUUGAGAAUUAUGGUUGCCCUUCAUUGAUGAAGCUCUUGUUGGCACUAUAAAUUGGUUUUGCUUCAUACUGUAUUGAUCAAGAGUGUGUGAAGCUUUUGAGAAUUAUGGUUGAACUCCUUUGAUGAAGCUCUUGUUGGCACCAUAAAUUGGUUUUGCUUCACACUGUCUUAAUCAAGAGUGUGAAGCUUUCUACAAGUUGUAGUGUUUGCAUUGUUACAGAGGGGAAAUGUCUGAAUCAGAUGUAAAAGGGCUAAAUAGCUUGAUCUUCGUAUGCCAUACAUUGAAGUUGUUGUUGACUUGCAAUAAGACUUUGUUGGUGACUAUAACUCUUGUUGGGCAUAAGUGUUCCCCUAGUUGAGUUGUUAAGCUUGAUGGUUUUUUAUUAUUUGUGAAUGCUAGGAGUUCACAUGUACAAGUUGUACCACUCGUCUUUUGGUAGGUGGAAUGAAUAGUGAGUUGCUUUCAUCACUUGGUUGGUGGUACGAAUGUGAGUUCCUUCAUCGCAUUUCAUCACAUUUCAUCACCUGGUUGGUGGCACGAGGAUGAGUUCUUUCUUCACCUGGUUGGUGGCAUGAAUGGCAAGUUCCCAAAUGAUAUUAGAAUGCGGGUUGUACAUUUGAUCACCUGGUUGGUGGCAUGAAUGAGAGUACGGGUUGUACAUUUCAUCACCUGGUUGGUGGCAUGAAGAUGAGUUCAUUCUUCACCUGGUUGGUGGCAUGAGUGGCAAGUUGCCAAAUGAUAUUAGAAUAUUGGUUGUACAUUUCAUCACCUGGUUGGUGGCAUGAAGGAGAGUACGGGUUGUACAUUUCAUCACCUGGUUUGUGGCAUGAAGAUGAGUUCAUUCUUCACCUGGUUGGUGGCAUAAGUGGCAAGUUGCCAAAUGAUAUUAGAGUACAGGUUGUACAUUUCAUCACCUGGUUAGUGGCAUGAGGGAGAGUACGGGUUGUACAUUUCAUCACCUGGUUGGUGAGAAUAAAGGCAAGGUGUCGAGGUACAUUGUAGCAAGUGUCGAAGACACAAAGUAUGUUGAACCCUUUCGAAGCACAGUUGGCUUAUGUAUGAAUGUGUUGGAAUGUAUGAUUUUUAUGUAUGAAUGUGUUGGAAUGUAUAAUGUUUAUGUUUAUUGAUAUGAGUGAUGCUUAUGAAUAUUUUGCUAUGCAUGAAGGGAUCCAUGCUUUUGAUAUGUGAUCCAUGUUGGUUAUAACACUUAGUAUCACAUACUUUAUGUCAAAGUAUGCAUGUUGAAGCUCUGAGUUGGAGUAUAAGGGUAGGUUAGCGUAGAUCAAGUGUUCCAGUGCUAGGAACGCAAAAGACUCAGAAGAAGUUGUCUGAAUUCCCUCUUCUUUAAAUAUUUGUCGAAUGACUUGUGUGACAAAAGAUCUCAAGCAGUUGAGAGUCAAAACAUUUGUAAUGUGUAUGCCUUCUUAUAAUAGCAUUUCCUUCAGUACCUAGUCCUCCACUUUGAAAGAGUGAGGCUUGGCCCCAUAGUCAUAAUAGUCGACGGUACGUUCACCCCUGGUUGUCUUGAUACGAACUUUUAUCCCUCUUGUUGUAAUGGGCUUGCUGAGAGUAAAAAUCCUUCCUUUUACCAAGAAAAAGAUACGUUUGGUGACUUAGUGAGUAGCUAAAUGAGGCAGGAGAUGAUGCAAUGGGUGUCUGAAUGCCCAAUAUCUCCUCACUUGGUAGAACUUGACUUCCACUUCCUAUUUGUUGAUAGGGGUUAACCAUAUGGGGGUUCCCUUGGUAUGUCUUUGCUUCGGCGGAGGCGUGGUUAUAAGCCUGUGCCAUCACCUCAGAGUAAGUCUUCCAAGUGUUGGCAUUGAUCAUGUACUUGAAGAAACAAUCAUGUAGGCCUGCUGUGAAGGCCUUGAGGGCGGUCUUGUCAUCUGCCUCAAUGCAGUGAGAAUACUUAUGGCUGAAGCGACCGGCAUACUCUUGUAGUGACUCGUCCGGCUUUUAGUGAAUAAUGUACAAGUCAUCUGCAUAAUGCAAGUGAUCGGUCUGGAAGAUGUGUUAAGAGACAAACAGUUUCGUCAAUUCCUCAAAUGAGUCUACUAUCUCAGGUGGAAGACGGCAAUACCAGUUUAGAGUUCCGCCAGAGAGGGUGGAGGGGAAGAGAAUACAUCGCUCUUCGUUGGUGUGCAUCCAAUAUGCCAUGGUGGACUCAAAGAUGUUAAGGUGUUCAAUUGGGUCCUUCAUUCCAGUAUAGAGUUGUAAACCAAGCUUUUGUUUUGUCUUCACUUGAAGGGGGUGUUGAGGAUCCUUCUUGUGAGAGGGCCAGGCCUGGGUUGGUUCCAGUCAGGUAUCUCGGCCUGACGUUCGACUUUCAACUUGUUUACUUCCUCAAUAAGCUGUAGGACAAGGGGGUCAUGAAUGGAGUUAUAUACCACUAGAAUUUUCUUUCGUAAGUCUCCAUCGCCUCUUGGAAGUAGGAAAGUUUGAGCAUGCGCGUGUGGUUUUUUCUUGGACUCGCCGUACUGACUUCUAGGUCUAGUCUGUCGGAAUACCUCAAAGUCCCACGUACCUUCAUAUUCCUCUGGGACCUGUUAUUCCUUCCCUAGAUUGGCAGCUGGCCUGGGUCCUGGGAGGGGACCAAGUCUUUCAGAAACCCUUGGGUCAUUGAUAUUCGAGCAUAUGUGGAGGGGAUUAUCUCGACGUUGCUUUAGGAAGUCUGGCAGUCACGAUAAACGGCUUUCGAUCAUUCCAACCCUUCUGUAAUGAGGUGUCUUCUUCCACUUUUUCUACUUCGGGUCGAAGCAUCUGGGUUGAGAGAAGUCUCAUGCUGAUCAAUGCUUUGAUGAUUAGCUCGCUUCUCAUCAAGGAUACCCAUGUCGAAGGAAGGUGACCUUCCGUGUUAGGGGGCACCCAGAUGAUGAUUGAUGUUCACAUGGGCAACGAGCUCGCGUGUUUGAGUACGCCUAGUUUCGUGGAGCGUCUCAAAGAGCUUCUCAUACUGCUCCUGGAGGACCUCAUUCUUCAUUGUUAUCUUAUUAUUCUGAACUUCUAGCUUAUCGACUUUAGCUUGAAGAGUAACCCUUUUUCCUUCCUUCUUUGGUUACUUCGCAUUAGGUGCAAGAGGGGUGUCAUUCUGUGUGUUGUAACUUCCUUCGCUCCCUAUGUUGGAAAGGGAUGCCUGGUCAAAAGAAAGUGUACGAAUGGUGGAAACCAGCUUGGCAAAGCUGAAGAGAGUGGGAAUAAUUGUCGUUCCCACAGACGGUGCCAAAUGUUGAUGCACAAAAUCAACGAGGACUUUGGUACAACAGAAAGUGUUAAGUUUAUGACCUUCGCUAGAUUGCUCCGGUCACUAGUGUGGAUAAGUAAGUAAACGGAUAGGGACAGGGAAGCAAACACAAGAUGUACGUGGUUCACCUAGAUUGGCUACGUCCACGGAGUAAAGGAGUUCUCAUUAAUUGUGAAGGGUUUACACGAGUACAUAGGUUCAAGCUCUCUUUUAGUGAGUACUAGUGAAUGAUUUAGUACAAAUGACAUUAGGAAAUAUUGUGAGAGAAUGAUCUCUAUUUAUAGAAGAGAGUUUCUAGUUUCAUUCUGACAUUGACACAUGUCGUGUUGUGAUUGGCUUCUGAUGUUGACACGUAUCGCGCUAUGAUUGGCUUUUGAUGUCCACACGUGUCACGCUGUGAUUGGCCUCCUGGUUUGAGGGAAACUCUUCUGAGUCCUUGACGGUAUAACGUUGACCGGUGCUCAGUAGUUUCGGGAUUGGUCAAGUAUGGUACAAACAUACCUUUACUUGGAGUCCAAGUUAUAACUUAUAACUAAACCCUAAUCACACUUACAUUCCACAUCAAUCCUUAUUAACUAUAUUGACCUAUUAACCGUUGGAUUAGAGUUUAAUGUCCAACAGCGUGCGGGCACCUACCCUUCUCCGAAUGGGUGAGAACCAUUACUCCCAGAAACCCCUCGUCUGUCCACCCCCCUCCACCAAAUUUAUUGAUAAUAAAUGAAAAUAAACGAAAAAUAUACAAGCGGCAGGACUAUGCCAAGACCCACAACGACAAAAACGAUUAUAAGGACAAAAUGAAAUGUCACGAACAUGAGUAAAGACUACAAAAUCUGGAAUCGUAGACCAACUGUAAUAAGAAUAACUAUUUGCCUCAAAUGAAGCUAAACCUGAUUUCCUUCUCAAAUGUAUUUUUUUUUCAACAAAACAAAUCGCAUUUGAUGAAAUCUCCAACGGCAAUUUUUUCAAUCCAUCAUAAGAAACUACAAGACUGCAUUAGGAGCCUCAAAAGGAUAGAAAAUAACUAAUAUUUGUCUAUUUUAAUCCAUAAAUGUUUCUAAUUUCUAACCCAAGCUAUAUGCAUGGCCUCAACGAAAGCAAGAAUAUUUUUGCAACAAUUGAACAAACAAAUUUUGUUUGAUGCAAAAGCACCAAGCCCAUCUUCCGAUGAGCGAAAAAUCACCACAAAUCCUGACAACGAAAUAUUGUGAUAUGAAAAUAGAUGAGGUUCAAAAGUUUGUCAAGUUGUAUGACCACAUCAGGGGGUUUGUGACUGUGAUAACGUAGGGAUCCUUGUAGAAACAUAAAUCUUCUCAUUUAAAUAUAUAUAUAUAUAUAUAUUUUUUUUUUUAUGUGUUACAACAUUUUAAUAUGUUUGGAGAACCAAAUUUAUAAUAUGCACAGGUAUUUAAUUAUGUGAGUUUAUGAGUUGGUGGGAAGGAGAAGAGAUAGAAUACACAUAUGUGGCAUAUCUUAGUUCCGUAGGCCCGUCAAGUGAUGCAUAUGGUCCUUGUACAAACAUAUAUGUAUAUAUAUGCAGACCUUGGGGCUAGGGCAGCUAAGCACAUUUCUGAAGCACAUUGCUUUCAAACAAGAGCUCAGCAAUAGUGUGAAAUUUAUCAUGGAUAAGAACUUGAUGCUGAUAGUGGGUACGUAGCCUUGCUGUAUGUUAUUCAUUAAUAUAUAUAUAUACACACACAUAUAUAUGUGUGUAUAUGUAUGACUUUCUUUUGACUUCUUCUUCUCUUCUUCUUGUAUGUCAUUCAUUAAUACACACACACACACACAUAUAUAUAUAUAUAUAUAUGUUUAUAUGUAUGACUUUCUUUUGACUUCUUAUAUAUAUGUGUUUAUAUGUAUGACUUCUUUUGACUUCUUCUUCUGUUUUUCUUGUAUGUCAUUCAUUAAUAUAUACACAUAUAUAUGUGUGUAUAUGUAUGACUUUCUUUUGAAGUUGGGUGAAAUAUGAUAAGGCCGUAGAGUUUGGUAUUGGGUAAUAUCAUUGAACUGUGGGGACUGCUGCUAUGCCACUGAAGUUGGUGCAUGGCAAAUAGCAAACAUCUCCAUUAGGAAAACUGGUGUUUUCUUUUUUGGAAAAAUAUGAGGUAUAUUGAUUAAUUCCCUAUCUAUUAGGCCAGGUUUCUAGUAUGAAUAGGAUUAUGAUUACUUUAUUUUUUAUUUUUAGGAGGACAACAAGUGGCAAGCCACGGUUAUCCAUCUCUUUCGAGGACUGGAAAAACUCACAGAGUCAUUUCAGCCUUUUAGAUUGCUUUCCUGUUCGUUUGAAGAUUAGGUCUUAAAAAAUACAGCUCCAUAUGAAUUAAGUCUUGAUAAUAUUUAGUUUUUUUUUUUGUUGUGAUGUAGUCUUCUUGACAAGUUUUAGCAUUUUUUCUUCGUGUAUGUAUAUUCAAAUUUAUGUAAUCAAUUUCUAUUCUUUCCAUCUUGAAUUAAUUUGCUAAUAAUUCAUACACAAUACAUUGAAUCAUCUAAGUAAAUGAAGCUAAUUCGAGUAGCGAGGGAGAGCAAGUGACCCUUUAUCACGGUGGUGGAAAGAUGUUGAGUCAUUGCAUGGCGACGUGAGUUCGAACUCCGCUGGUUGCUAAUUUAAAUUCUAAUUUAAUAAAAUCUACCGUUUGACAACAAAAAAAAAAAUUAGUGAGCGAGAAAAAAAAUUGAGUUAAAACAUGAAUGUGAUCUCGACUCAGAAAAAAUCAAAAUGUUCAAAUUAGCUUCCUCCGCCAAAUUAAAUUCAUAUUUACAUAAAUAACUAUACGGUUGUGUCGUAUGUUUAUACGCAUACAAUAAUGCAUAUUUACGAUUGGCUGGUUACUUCAUUUUCUAGGGUGUACGUGCUUUGGCUUGAUAUGCAUGUCCCAAUCCUGAACGAUGCUUCUAAAAUUUUCUAAGCCACUACGGUGUCUGGAAACUUAAAAUUUUGUUUUGAAAAGUGCCUUAUUAUUUGAUAAGGAGCAAACAACCAUAUGUGCUUAAUUAAGAGGCUUGAUGAUAUCGUGCUGGCUGCCUAUAAAAUUCUCCUAAUCACACCGGCAUCAAAAUAUUUAUAUAUCUCAGUAUUCAAUCUACAUGCAAUAUCUUUUGUUCAAACAUAACCUAAAAUCUAAGGAGAAGGAAAGCACUGCAAGAGUUUUUUUUUCAUGGGUAUCGCAGCCAUACUGUCAUAUAUAUAUAUAUAUAUAUAAUUUUUUUUUUAAAUAAAUCUUUUGUGUUAUAAUAUGGUGAGAAAGACGAGUUUAUAGUGAUUGAAAGACGAGUUUAUACGUUGUAGUAUAGUAUUAUUGUUACUUAAGGCUCGUUUGAUAACUAUUUUAGAAUUUUCAUAAAAAUGAAAAUUGAAAACUAAAAUAAAGCUAUUUUGAAUACUGAAAGAAGUAGCUUUCAGUUUUUUAUUUUUCACUUUUCAAUUUUUUUUUAACUGAAACCAAAAUAGUUAUUAAACGGCCCAUAAAUAAAACAUGUAUUAUAACAUGCAUGAAUAUAAGUACUAUCACGUGACAACGUUAUACUCACAUCGAGGCCGAGAUGCCCUUGCCCUUCCUAAAAUAGGUGGAGAUUGUGUUACUCUUCAUAUUACCAAUUAAUUUUAUGAUGAAAUCUCACAUUUUUUCAUUAACAUUCAUAUUUACAAACUAGCAUGCUAAGCCAUCAAAUUAACUUUAUCCUUUUUUAAAAGAAUCGAAUUAACCUUUUUCUAUUAUUAUCAUGGCACUUAAACUUAAACUACUCAAAUCAAGUACGAUGUAUAGAAAACUAAAACUAGUUUUUUUUUUUUUUUUUUUUUUUAAGACGGAAAUGCGAAGAACUUAGUUAAAAAGGCAAAGGCAUGCAGAAAGCUAUGCCUAUAUAGAAUUAAUCUUUGCAUGAACUAAAUAAGGGAACCGGAUCCCCUCCUGAGCAUAGGGUGGGGAUCCUUCUGACUAGGCUAUCUGGGUCAUUGAAAUUUGAUACAACGAUUAUAAAUAAAGAAUCUUCUAAAAAUUAUAAUUAUUGUAACCGUUAGAUCAAAUUUCAAUAAUCCAAAUGAUCCGAUCAGAAGGAUCCCCACCCUAUGCUCAGGAGAAUAUCCGGUUCCCUAAAUAAGAAUGAUAAUACCAGCCGAAAGUAUAAAGUGAGCAGAAUAGUGGGUUACAAAUAAGUAAUAACACAGAGGGUAUAUAGUAAUAGCUAAUAAAGCGUUAACGCGGGAUCGUCUUCACUCGAGAGUGUAUGCCGUUUGAGAGGAAGAGCACAUAGAUGGCGUAGGCUAUAAUAAUCUAAAUUCAUGCGUCAAAGAGUAUUAGUAUACACCAGAUAUUCGGUGUCAUCUAUCCACAAUUCACACACACUCAGAAUUAUUAUCGGGUAAAAUCUGAUUAUUUCAGAGAUCACAAACUAAUAGUUUGUAAUAAAUCAUAUAUUUUCAUGUGAUCUUACAUUAUUUCCAACUUUCCAUCCCUCAUUCACUGGAGCCGACUGAAUAGACUCCGAUCACUAACAUCUCUUAGCUAAGAAAGCUAGGCAAUAAGAAAAUCUGUAGACCAUAACACCAUAUAUAUACAUCGCGGGACUCCUGCUGCCCUCCCCUUGAGAGAGUAGAGGUCGAACGAACCGCCUAAAGAGGUAUAGAGAUCUGAAUGCGGGCUACCUUGAAAACGAAAGUGUGAAGCCCCAACGAAAAGGCAAAUUCACCAGCCUAUACUUAAUAUGAACACUCCUUUGAGAAUUCAUCGCUAACAAUGUAGAGGGAUACAAUAACAGUAACCUCGCUACUAACCUAACGAUUAGGCGAGAUUAUGAUGCCCAAUUACCGCGAUCCCAAAACUUAUAACUCAUUAUUCAUUACACAUACUUAAAAUGGUUUACACAAUUAAUAUAAAUAGAAAGACCCCCAUUUUUAAUAUGUGAAUAUAUGGAUUAACACUUACACAAUAAUCUAAAGAUCUAAAAACAAAAAUCCCGUGGUAAUGAAUCCUUUUCCAUAAAACUAAAACGAAUAGAUUAAAUUGUGUCUUGUGGGUAAUGACAUCUUGUGUGCCAGGCAUCGCAUGUGAGAAAACGAUACUCUCGUGUGAGUAACCAAGACCACAAGAACCUCACCUCACAUGUUAAUAUUUUUAAAUUUCGUUACUCUCUCUUUACUGAUAAGAAGUUUAAAAGAUUGUCGAGUUCGUAAUAAUGAGCAAAAUAAAAAACUGAUAGAAGACAACACUCAGCGAAGGAGCUACUCAAGCAAUCCACGCAAGCGAAAGACGAAUUUUAGACGAAUAACAAACUUUGAGGCCAAACAUAUUGGAUAGACUCAGCCAUGUUCAAAGCGCAGACCCCGACAUGAGUAUCUUCUAAAUCCUCAUUUUUACAAAACAACUGCGUAUAACAACGCAUCGCAAGAAUGAAAAUUCCAUAGCUUCAAUCAACUUUUACAUGACUACUCAAAACAAAGCUUUUAAUGAAUAUACUAGCAUGGAACACACUCUUGAGAAGUAAUGGGCUUGAAGAUAUAUGUUUUUGUGUAUUGACCAAAUGUUUAUACGAGGUCAUGUCAUAGCAGUAUCAUGCAUGAAAGAAAGCAAGUAAUAAUAAUUUUAAUCUUAAGCCAAUGUUUAUCACUGAUUUUUCUUCGUCAAUACAUUAUAACUCAAAAUACUUUCGAUGAGGCGUAGGUGAACACACCAUCUCCACAUCAAGGUAAUGAGCGAUAAGGUAAAGGACAUUGUGGAGCCUGUAACUCAUUAGGUAGAAUAGAUGCAAUAUUUUGGUUUGAUGCCAUUUGCGUGGUUUAUCUCCCAGAGAAAAUAAAUAAGAUAUUUUACAGUCAUUAAUCUUACGUAUUAAAACAUAGCUUAGAACAAUUGAGUAAAAUCUCCUUUCUCAAGUGUCAUUGAUUGUCAUUAUCUAAAUUUACAAAUUAAUGCUGUUUGGAGAGAGAGGUCACAUAUGCGAAGUGCGAGCUCUCCUAUCUCUUUACAACAAAUAAUUAUUGAUGUAAGCUUCUGGUGUAUAAUUUAUAGGUCAUAAGUGUACCAAGAGGAUGGUGAAGUUUGCAGGUAUAGCUACUUUUUUUAGCCUAGGUAUCUAAAUUAUCCCGUCACACUCAGCCUCCCAAUCCUGUAACUACAAUUAUGUUUAGGUCUCGAUACACCUCAAUAUAAAUCUUAGGACAAAUAUACACUCAAAAUAGCAAAAAGAACUACACCAACUAUCUUAGAGUAAAUUCCUAAGGUCAUUUCCAAUCACGGUAAAUGACUAAAAUUGAAUAUAUAUAGUCCUUACAUCUUAGAAUUAUAGUCCUCAAAAAAAAUUUAUUAUUUGUACACAUAAGAAAGUAUUAGGUAUAAGUGUAAAUACCUUUAAGUAGACAUACUCAAAUUAUGCAGGUCUUGCGCGUGAGAGUAUAUAUCUACAUAUCUCUCACCUCUCAAUAGUCAAGUAUUCUUUCACCUUACUUAUUCGAUAUUACUUAUUAAAGAUGCCUACUUUUAAAACCGUUUUAUUAAAAAGAUUUAAGUAUUAUCGCUUUUGUUAAAAGUUCUUUUUUAGUGUUAUUAGAUAUAAUUAAAUACAUGAGCGCAAAGGAAUAAGUCGUCAACAAUUCUAUAGUCAGCAUUGUGCGAGAAUUAUCGAGACACUUAAUUAUAAUUUCAAAUGUCUCAGAAGAGCUUUUGCGCAUUGACGACCUAAAAAAAGGUGUAAACCUUUCAUUAGAGUUAAAACAUCCUAGUACUAUAAAUUGCAUAUCUGUUUUAUAUCACUUAGAUCAUAUGAAAAAACCACCACUUUCAUCUACAAUUAGAAAAAGAUCUAGAUUGAUGGUGCCACCACGGUCACAUAUACAUCUCACUUAAGUUUAAUUAAAACCUGUUAUUUAUAUUAUUUUAUUCAUAUCUUAAUUUAUAGACACCAGAACAUAUUUCCCAAAAUGGCACUUCAUUUUUCUCCUAUUCUAUGUUUUCAUAAUAAAAAAGGUUAAAAAGGGGGGGGCUAACCAUUGGUUACAUUUGACACGUCAUUGCGCUGUUUGCGCGCCGUCGGUCCUAUUAACCAAUAGCCACUAACAUCCUUGGGCCCAACUUGUAUGACUCCAAUAAUUUAGACAAUUUUUACUUUAAGGCCACAUUUAGACAGUUUUCAUUGCUUGUUGUUAUCUAUAGAUUAUAAUAUUCAUUAUUCGCGACUACAAGCUAAUAGGUCACGAGUAUUAUUGUACCUUUUGCACAUGCGCAUUUAAACAUGAUGCAAUCUAUUGUUAACUAAGGAUCAGGAAGAAAAAACUGAAAUUGAUAAAGUCAGAAUUUAUAGAGUCGGUACACAAUAGCGAGAGUCAUUCCUGGGUCGAUAUUUUAUUACACAACUAAUAAGAUAAUAUUUAAAAGACCAUAAAUGGAGAGGCACAGUGAACAAAUAAUAAGGAGAAUCCCAUUUGUGGUAAUUAUGGUACGAGCACCUCCAAUUCCAAGUUUUUCACACUAUUAACAUGAACAAUUGAUAUUAAAUCUAUAUUCAGUUAUAUACCCAAUUCAUCGUACUGAGUAUUGAGAACUUCAUACUUUUAGGAAAAAAUUUCACACAAAUCUCACACACCUUCUAAUUUCAUUUCUUCCUUACUGUAGAGUCUCCACCUCCAAUUAAAUACAAUAUACAUCACAAUAAUUUCCGCGAGAGCAAUAUAAUAAAGAUAGCUUGACACCCUCUCGCACAUACUCAAUUUUUCCCUAUAAUAUCGUGAUAACGUUUUGAGUAAUUUCACUUUAGUAAUCUAAAUUUUCUAUCACACACAAAUCUAAUAAAGAAGGGUGGGGUUGGAUCACUACUCCAUCGUUGGCGAAUUAGAAAAACGUCCUAUAAACUCACCAUCCAAGUCUUUCAAUACUGCCUGGAUUUCGCAUUCCGCUUUUCAUAAACCACACUUACAAACAAAUUUAAACUUCUAUUUAAUAAUAACAAAUAACAACAGAGAAAGCCAUACAUAUUAAAAGAGAGAGAAGCAAAGCUCAAAAAGACAAUAAGUAGACCAAACCUGAAAGAUAGGGAAGAGAACUGUUUAUUGCAUUCUACUAGUAUCCAACCCCAGAUAUACAUAUAUAUCCCUGCGAUAAAUAACAAAGUGGAGAUGUCACCGCUCUAGUAUUUGAUAGUAACUGCCUGAGUGAUAAUUAGAGAAAAUCAAGAGAGAAUAGUGCGAUAGAUGCUGAUAAAGUUAGUAGCAAAAAUAAUAUGAUUUAAAUUAAGGGAUAAAAGACAAAGAAGGUGCGAAAUCACAGCGGAGAUCAGACCCAUCUACGAAUAUCUCUCAAAUUAGAGUCACCAUCUUUUUUUAUGCUAUGUAAAUAUCACUCUAUCACUGCUAUCUCUCUUAGUAUAAUGAUCCCACUCACUAGCUGUCUCUAUCCUACUCAAUCUACAUGAAGCGGGAACAAAGAUCCAGCAGAACACAUAUAUAAACGACAAAUAACCACCAGUUCACCCAUUGAUAUGUAAAAUCAUAGUGUAAAAUCUUCGAUACUCCUCACUAAAUAAGUUAUGGCAGUAAACAAGGAAAUACUAGUUAGCAAAAUCGUAAAAGUUACAAUCCAUAAUUAUCCAUUGGAAAAUCAAGACCCAUCGCGUGUCUAAAUCAAAUUUAGCCCUCUAUACUGUUUAAACCCUCUCUACUAAAAGUAAAUAACUGCAAAUCCGAGAAGCUGUUACAGACUGCUACAUGAGAUUCUAAUUGUGAUUUUAAUCCUAUUUUUAGGUCAUUAAUAAUUGUUCCUGGAUACACAUUGACACCAAAUAAGAAUAUCAUUAUGGGACUGAGAGCACACAAAAACCUAUGAUUCAUUACGAGUGUCAAUAUGUAAUAUUAAUUAUGUUUGUUAAGUUUGUUACUUAAAGUACUUAAACGAUUUUAUUCAUAAAAUCAAUCUAAUACAUCGAAGAGAAAUAAGUGGGAGCAACUGCCAGAAAAAGGUGAGGAAAAAGGAAAGACAUAAAGUAAUGACUAUAAAAGCACUAACAAUGGAAAAUCUAUACGAUAACUAUGGAAGAACUGUAAAUUUAAGUAAUAGUUAAGAGUAUAGCAACAUCAGAAGAUGAAAAGUAAUAAUAAUAUAGGUGAGGGUAAUGGGUAAAAUGAUUAAAGAUUAUUUAUAAAUUGAAAUAAUUAAUAUGUAAUUAUGUGUGACAACUUAAUAGGAUCACAUUAGAGUUGGUAAGUGCCUUGUAACCCAAAGGUUUGAAUGAAAAUAACAUCAAAUCUAGUGAGAUGAAAGGUUUUAGAGCUCAUAUGCUGAUAAAUUAUACAUUUACUGGGCUUCUAACACGUUUUUUUGAGAUAUAGCACAAUAAUUGCAAGUAUAUUUAGGAGUAAGUUGUAAGAUAUGUAACUAUAUCCAGGUGAGACCUGUAGGUAAUUGGAAGAAUAUAGGGUGUUGUAUCAAGAGACAAUGUUUUAACUAAUAUCCAACAUUAGUAAUAGAAGAGGAAAAUCUUUGUAAGUGUGAUCCCAAUCUCUCUAUCAAAGAUAAGUUGGGUGCGGGAUUGGUGCCCUGUGGGCUGCCUUAAUGCUCAUAUAUUUAAAUAGGUGAGAACCCCAUAUAUCAAACUGGUUCCAAUAUCCAUACGAUCUUUUGAGACGAGAAGCCAAAUUGAUAACACAUCGAUGCAUCAGCUAUUAAGUAAACAAGAGAAAGACACACUACAGAUGGCCUGAGUACCUCCAUCACAGUGAGUGAUUCGAAUUAAUAUUGAGAUACUUAAUAGAGAGUAUUUGAUGUGAAGUGCUUUUCAGAAUCCUUAUGAAAUAUUUGUCCUACAAAUGUCUUAAAGAUGUUGAGUGAUUAAAAUAGAUACCUUUAGGAUAUGAGACUCUAACAAUGUGAAUAAUAGGAGAGGGAUUUAAAUUGAGCUAUUGAGCUUAUAAUUAAAUUGAAACUACUCUUCUCCUAUUCUAUUUAACGCAAUGAGUAUGUUCUAUAAUGAUCACGAAUCUUUAUAGUUUCUUUCUAAAAGUUCAUUGUAAUAUUUGAUAUUUAUAUGUACGACUUUUUUUCUGUCUAUGCGUAACAUAUCAGCCGAAGGGUGACCUGGGCUACUGCAAUCAAAAGCACAGAAGUAAGGUAUAGCAAAAUCGAUAUUUUUGGAGUGUACUCGGUUGUACAGCGGUUAAACAAGGUAAACAGAAAGAGCUCCAUAUAAAAUUAAUCUAUUAUGUCGACUUCUACUGCGGCAACUAGUGAAAAAUUUGACGAGUGUGUAUUGAAUAAACAGAUAUAAAUGCCUAACAGAUAGAGAAACAGAAAACAUUUAUUGUGAAUAGUUGUAAAUAUGAACAGGAAAAAGCCAAAAGCUUAAAAAUAGUAAUCUUAUAUCCUUUAUGCCAACCUAUUUAAAUCUUAGUGCACAUGAAUCCAGGGGCUUAAUUGAAACUUCCAACACUGCACGUUUUAUAUUCAUUUUAUAAGCGAUACUUUGGAUAUGAGCAAAUAAUCUCUAAAUUUAUUCAAGUGAAAGGGAAUAUUCUCUAGAUGUGAGAGAAAACUUUCUUGCAAGGCAGUGCAUUUUGAGUUGUUUAUACUUGUAGAUCGUCAAAUCCACUAUAACAUUUCAAUUGUUACAUACAUUAUCCUGUAUCCUCUAUAAUGUGUGCAGGCAAUAAAAUAUUAUGUCUUUGUAAAUAUAUAAUCAAAUUAUUGAUAACGUUAUUUAUAUUAUAGAGAUAUCACUUAAAUAAAACUAUAAUUUAUGGGAAUAAAAAAAUCUAAAAAUGAAUAUAAAUCUCUCCAAUAAUUAAAUAACUGUCAUAAAUUAAUCACACAACAUAUCACAUGACUUUUUAAUUCAAUAACCCAACUAAAAUAUCAAAACACACGAGUACCCUUGAGACCCAGAUAGAUUCCAAACAUAGACUAUUUGAGAAGCGACGGUCUGUGCUGGCCGCGUAUGAUUAUAUACACCUGAGAAUGAGGUGAGGCGGACAGCAGUAAAUAUGAUGAUGUCGAGAAACCAAUGUGAAGUUUGAUAUCAUUAUAUUAUAAAAAUAAACAAUCUAUAUCGUUAGUAUAGCUAGAAUGACUAUCACGAAAUACGACGCGGAUGGCAUGAGAACACGAGGCUUAAUUGUACAUGAUAUCCGCAUGAAUUCGGACACAGUGACAUUAAAAGGUAAUAAAGAUAAACAAGCUAUUAAUGAUCAGUAGAAGUUUAUAUUAAAGAGAGUGAAGGUAUAUAAGAAUUUCUAUUUAAUGAAGACAUAAAAAUAGUUUAAGAUAAAUAAGGAAGAUCUAAAAAAGACAACCUUCUCUCUGCUCUUUUCUUUACGGGUUAUUGUAUUAAUUUAUUACCAAUUCUGGCAUCAGAAAAAAAUUUACAAAAAAAAAUAAGAAUAAAGCUGAAAAAUGACACGGAAUCCUGUCAGGACAGAUAAAUAGAAAAACGUACAGCAUCUAAAAAAUCCAGGAUGUUGAUACAACUUAAAAGAUAAGAGACUGAUAGGGUCCUUCUGCGAGAAAAUACACAAUAUUUCUAUAUAUGAAACCCGAUAAAAAUAAAUGCAUGGUGAGAUCAACCACCCAGCGUGACACAAUUGAAACUUACACAAAUACAAUAUAACCAGAAAAUAUCAGGAGGACUUAAUAAUAUAACAAGGCAAACACACAACAGCAUCAUCAUAGCAUAUCAAAUAAUCAUUGAGUAAUCUUGAAUACAUAAUAAUACAUAUAUACCAGCUUACACGCAAAUCGGAGAACUAACACCUAUAGUGACCUGUAGCGCUGUCAAUCUCACAAGAUAUUUGUCAAAUUCAAAAUUCGAGAAUGUCACACUCAUAACCGAAGAGUCUACCUAAAGAGAGAUUCUGUAAGCGAAGAAACAUGAUUCGCUUCAAUAAUCUAUACAAUAGCAACACAAUAUUAUGCCCAUUCAUCCAAAUGCAAAAUUCUAGGCGGACAUAAUGGCUCAUCUACAGUGUAUGACAAGAGCUCAUUCAACAAUUCUCAUUCAACAUAAGGAUAAUAAGCUAAUCAUCGAACAAUAUGCAGCAAUCAAUGCACAUAAUCUCAUAUCAUCAUGGAAAUGCUAAACUUCAUCUUAUUAUAUAUUAAUGUACAUAACACAUAUGGCACAGACAAUAAAAGUCACAUAUAAAUUUUUAUCACGGUUAUGCUGAAAUAGCGUUAUACACCAUAUUUAUCACGUAUGCUAGCCAUUACAUAUUUAAUAUCAACGUAUGCUAGCUCAUCACAAUUCAUCACAUAUGCUAACUCAUCCACAUAUCUCAUCAACCUAUGCUAGCUCAUCACCAUAUUUCAUCAUAUAAAGAACUAUAGAUCAUUAAGGUGGAUAGAAAAAGUUUUAUCCUCUACACUUCGGUUAACAGUGAACAGUGUACACGACCUAUCCGAUAGCUCAAUAAGUAUACUGCACAGUGGAGUGCGAGAACCACACUCUCGAAAGUGGUUCUUACUGUUAACAUAGACUUAGGGUGAAAUAACGCUUACAAAUCAAGUACUCAAGAGAGCCUAAAACGUUCUGAAAGACUAAAGCGCGACUGAGGUUCAACUAAUAAGUCAUUUCGGAUAGCUGAUGCUCCGAGAGACGCAGGACUAAAUAGGAAGAUUCUGUCCACCCAACACCGAGCUUGGGUGCAUCCAACCACUGCCUUAAGAACCAAGCGCGCAAGUCACGUUAUUCGUAGUCCGGGUGGUGAGCGAGACUUUUAUAACAUUUAACUUUAAACGUGAUAUGAAGAACAUGAGCCAACAUGAGGCCACCGGUGCAAUGGAAGACCUCAUCAUCACAUCUCCUACUAGCAAUCGUGGUGUGUCUAUGUGAUUUGAAUUAGAGGAGGACUUGCACUAGAAAAUCACACCAUCUAUUUCAUACGAAUAACACUAUGUAGCUGGACUCAUAGGGAAAUCCAAAUCCGGGCAACGAACCGAGUCGCCGUGAAAUUGCUUAAAAUAAUAUCCAACCAAUGUACACUCGUUCUCAUUACACAAAUCUGAAAUACGUCACAAAAGGGGAUCUCUCCAAACACAAAGCAGUAAAUACAGUAUAUUGAGUGCAAUGCGACCAUUCUCACACCUAUACAUUAGAGCGGUCACCCCUGAACUAGUAUCUAUGAAUCACGAACGUUCGCGACAGCUGCCUGAAUAUUUAGUAACCAAUCUUGCGUAUCUUAAAAAGCAUUCAAUACAUAUAUUAAUGCGCAAAUAAUAUAAACUUAUGGCACAUAAAUGACGUCUGAAAGCACCAUGUUUACAAUAGAACUUGAAGCAAAACGGAGAGAAAUAGUGAUCACAAAUAAACAUAAAUAGUUAGGUAGGUUAUGUUGGUAUAUGUGAAAUCUAUUCUCACUUUAUUCCAACGGCUACGAAACAUAAUAUCACAAAUUAAAGCAUGGAGCUAUAAAAAUGCACUAAUAUAUAAUGCGAUCUAAUUAUAACUCUCCCAAAGAACUAUAAUAUUUCGACGUCGGAAUAAUAACUACACGAGAUUAUCCCAAUGACAACAUCAAUACAAAAAAGUUUAAUUACCCGAAAUAUAACUACAUUAACUCUAUAGCAAUUCUUUCUAUCCAGAAAUAACUAACAGAGAAAUUCCUACUACAAACAUCAACUGAAUUAUGACCCACCCCCCCCCCAGAGCGAGGAUCCGGACCCACAAUCCUGUUGUACAAUCGAUAAGAAGCGGUUAUUAAUAUCUGCGACAUAAAUUUCAAUCAUAAAUGUUCUCAUCAUAACUUGAUCAAUUUCCCAUAAAACAAUAGCUUGCAUAUGUCUUCUAAUUAAAUAUCACCAUUUCUCAUGGUUUUAUGGUAUAUGGAACCGACUAUAGAAUCUAACGUUUCGUUAGAUUGCCUACGUACCCCUAACAAAGGAUCAAGGGAAACCAUUUGACCUAUUUCGCACUUAGUUACAAUCACAAAAAGCAUUUGACAACACUAAUAAUUAUAAUGCAAUAACCAAGUAAAUAUAAUAAUCACAUAGAAUUGAGUUAGGAAAUUAUAAAAUCAUUAUAUAUAUAUAUAUAUACAACACACACAUGAUAUGUAACCAGUGAGAAAGAAACAAUCAACUAACCACCUGAUGGAACUCAAUACUUAGAGCAUAAUCAGUACACCCACUACCUACCACUGUCACAUAAACCACUAAUCACUGACAACAUCGUUCGACUCUCUGUGGUCCACCUGUCCCAAAAUUCUGGCGAGAGAUAAAAACAACACACCCAAUCAAACUAGGCAACCUUUGAAACACCCGCACGACAACCCUACGAAAAUGAUAAUAUUGUACCUCAAUAAAUCCGACUAUGAAAGCUCCAUUCAAUGAUUGGGCAUUGUUCUCUGCCUAAAAGGGAGUCUAUUGGUGGUGGCAAUUGGAAGAAAUCAUUUCCCAAUUGAUGAAUUUUGGGCAAGGUCUCCCCCAUCACCCAUCACUAUUUUUGUACCAAAAUACUAUCAAAUUCCCUCUAAUUUUUGGUGGAACAAGAAGAGAAAGGGCCAAGGUGAUGAUUGGGAGCAGUUUAUAGGUCCAAUUUGUCGGAAAAUUGGACGAGAAACGGCGAGGAGCCGCCGGUUUAAGGAAACAGGUUAAGGAAGACCCGUUUGGGUUCCCUCCUUUUCUUCUUCUCUCCUUUCCUCCUGCUCUCCUUCCCUUUGGUCCUCCUUUCUCCUCCCUAUUUCCUCGAUUGGUCUCCCCUUUUUCUUCCAUUUUCUCCACUCAUUUGUUGCCCUCAGGCAGCCCCUCCUUCCUCCCUUUUUCUGCCACACACACACCCAUACACCAUGCAUAUAUUUCACUUUGCAUUAAUAAUAAUAAAAACAUAGUGUAAAAAUAAUUAAAAUAAUAUUUCAUUCCAAAUACCUUUGGGUUCGUAGCUCAAUAAAACUUUAACUGUAACUCCAAAAUCACUUCUACAUGUGCCUACCCAUCCUUAAGAUCGAGCUCUAUCCGAAUAUGUCAAGAAGAUGAGUCUCGCAUGACACGACGCGGUAGUCAACACAAGUCAACACUUUGCCUCGAAAGGCAUCUUCAUAAACUCACGUAUUAAAAUUAUAAAAUCAUCAUUUUUAGGGACGGGCUGUUACACACACACACACAUGGGUACGUUCAUCAAAACCAACCAAAAAAUUAUUGUACCAAAACAUAGGUACAUUUAAAAAAAAAAAAGAUAUUAGACUUAAUAACAUUAUUAAAUUUCUUCUAUUAAACUUGACAUGGAUAUAUCCUCAAAUAAAUAGAAUGUACCCAUAUAAGUAUAAAAAAAAUGGAUUAGAGAAAAGAUUGAAUGGAUUUUAUAUAAAAAAAAUAGGUACAUUUUAUAUUAAAAAAAGAGUACAUUUUUCACAUGACAAAUUGAUAUAUUUAAGAAUGGGUACAUAUAUGAUUCAAAAAUUGAAAUUUUUUUAUAAAAAUUUAAUAGGUACAAACUUAUUCUAAUUUUAUUUUUUAUAUUUUGGAAAUGUUUGAAUUGAAAAUUAAUUAGGAGUUUAAUAAGGGUGUGAGUAUUAAAACUCUAAAUUAAUUACUAAUUUUUAUUAUAAAAAUUAUGUAACUUACAUGUAAUUCAUUAAUAUAUUAAUGUCAAAGAUUUUAAUCAAAAUCUAAAAAAUGAUAAGGUCUUAGUCAAUGAAUAUUAGAAAAUAGGGACCGGAUACUAAUUUUUCCAUUUUAUAAUUCCACUAUAUUUAUUUAUUUUUUAUUGAAAAAGAGAUCAGUUGGUGACUUUGUCAUGGCAGUUCACCCUUUCGGCGAUCGGAAAAACUCACAUAGCCAUUUCAGCUUUCCACUAACCACCAUCGUGCGAUUUACUAGCCUCAUAAACCAACCAGAAUGUGUGGGAAUGUAUGCUUGAAAUUCAUUCUAACCACUAGACCACCCCGUAAUGGUUAUUCCAUUAUAUUGAAACAUAGCUCUUUGUUUGAUUUAUUAACCUGGAAAGCCAACAUGUCCAUGCAUAUAUUACAUUAUCAUAUCAGUUAUAUUUUGAUACUAAAGACCUAUUAGAUUUAAAUCAUUUUGGACAUAAUCAGGCUAUUCAACAAGUAGCUUCAUCUAUUUAUUUUUUUUCACUUUUGAUGAAAAAAAAAAAGGUUGAGAUUUAGUUCAAUUUGAACUAGUUUAUUUUGUUGAGAAUGAAUUUCACGUAUAUGAAAUGAGAGAUUUUGCAUGUGUUUAUAACAGAUUGGACUACUCCCUAUAUUUCCAAUUGUUUUUAUGGUGGAACCCAAUUUUUUUCAUGGUAUCAGAGCCAGGUCAUCUCACGUGUGAAGUCUCACGGCCACACGCAUUACACAUUACCCAAGUUGUGUUGUCCACGUAUUAUAAGAGAUUUGAACACUCCUCAUAUUAAUAAGUAAUUUUAUAAUAGAACUUCAACUUUUUCACAUUUAUAAAAUAAAAAUUCCAGGAAAGAAUUUCCGCAACAAAUAUAUAUAUAUUCUACCUUGAUGAUUGCAAACUCCCAAUUUAAUACGUUCAAAUAAGAGCUUUUUAAACGCUUUUUGAACACAAUAACACUUUAUAUUCCAUCAAAUAUCAUUGCGCAACAAGAGAUGUAUCUAUUUGAUAGAGACCUAUUUUGAUAUGAUAAGAAAAAUAAAUACAUGAAUAUAUUCAUAUGAAAACAUCAAUCCCAGAGAUUUUAUUAAUUAUGAAUAUAAUUCUUCCACUCCCUCCAUGGAACAACUUUGUAGAAGAGACAGAAUCAGUGUGGGUCACGUCCUCCACUCCCUUCAAUAACCUUGGCCUUUUACACUCCCAAAACCCUACAUAUAAAGCUCAACGUUUUGAUUAGACAGUUGUGGGGAUGCAAUUAACUUUCAUUUCCUUUAUUAAAUUAAAUUAGCUAGUAUCCCACUAAUUUCAAAAUGCUUAUAUAUACCACUUCAAGCAUGAGAUGUGCCAACAGUGGAUAUAAUUUUAGGGUAAAUUACAUAGUAACCCCUCAGGUUUGAGGUCUAUUACAACCUCAUACAAUAUCUUUAAAACAUUUCACUUUCAUACCUCACGUACUGUUUUAUUUCAAAACAAUACCUCUGUUGCAUUUUUCAUCCAUUGAUCCGUUAAGUGCUGACGUGGCUGCCAAAUGUAUGCCACGUGGCAAAAAAAAAUUCUAAUAUUUUUUUUUAACACUAAAUUUUCUUAAAAAAAAAGGAACAAAAGCUGAAACAAAUGCCUGCAACCCCCCAAACCCAAGAAGAAAAAAACCACCCCACCUCCCUACCAAUUAUUCCCCCCACCCUCCCCUCCCCUUCCCCCCUCCUGCUAUCAUGACUGACCCCCACCCUCCCCCUCCUCCCGUGGCUAACCUCACCAAUUAUUCCCCCCACACUAAGAAACCCACAUCUCUCCCUCUCCACCCACCCUCUUCCCUCAUCUACACACUCCACUCCUUAAAUCCAACACUCAUUCCUCUCAUCUUCACUUCAUGAACCCGGUGUAAACGAGAUCUGAGUUUUUUUUUUGUUUUUCUCUGGGUUGCAGGUGGGGGGUCGGGGGAAGAAGAUGAAGAUGGGGGAGAAGAGAGGGGAGGAGGAGGGGGAAAGACGAACUGAAGAGGUUUUUUAUUUUUUUAUUUUUUGGGUUGCAAGGGGAAGAAAAUGAAGAUGGGGGAAAAGACAAGAGGAGGAGGAGGAGGAGGGGUGGGUAAGACGAACUGAAGGACUUUUUUUUUUCUUUAUGGGUUGCAGGGGGAAGAAGAUGAAGAUGGGGAAGAAAAGAUGAGAUGAGGAGAAGGGGGCAUAAGGUUUAUGGGUUUGGGGGUUGCGGGGAGAAGAGAGGAGGAAGAGGGGGAUAAGGUUUCAGCUUUUGUUUUUGGUUUUUUUUUUUUUUUAAUUUAGAAGAUUCAGGUUUUUUUUUUAAAUUAAAAAAAAAAUUUGCCACAUGGCACAGAUUUGGCAGCCACGUCAACGCUUAACAAAUCAAUAGAUGGAAAAUGUAACAAAUGUAUUAUUUUGAAAUAAAACAAUAGUGAGGUAUUAAAGUGAAAUGUUUUAAAGAUGUUGUAUGAAGUUGUAAUAUAUCUCAAACCUGAGGGGUUACUAUGUAAUUUAUCCAUAAUUUUAAGAAAUUAAUUUGGAUCCUCAAUAGGUGAGGAGUUCCUCCUUAAUGCUUCGUUAUUGAUAUACGAAAUUUGGUACUUAUGAUCAUAAUCAUUUAUAUUAUAAAUCACAUUAAAAAUACCAUAUAUGCAAAAAAAAAAAAAAAAUUAAAAAAAUGAGAUCGUUGGGUCAUUGAACUGUGUAAAAAUAAUGGUCAGAUGGUAUAAAAAAGCAUUAUGAACCGUUUAUCUAUUUACUACAUUUGAUUUUUUGCAUAAAUGAUCUUUAAUUACAUAGUAAUUUAUAAUAUGAAUGGUUGUAUUUAUAAAUACAAAAUUUUGUAAAUCAGUAACAAAGCAUCUUAAAGAUUCCUACUUAAUUUUAAAGGACAUUUUGGAUGCAGUCUCUAACUACUAAUGUUCUUUGACUCAAACCUUGGUAGUUUUUAAUUUUUUAUCGAAGUUCCUGACAUUAAUGUAAUAGUGUAUUUCUAUGUAGGUUAUUAUAUUUUUAAAUUAAAAAUAAAAUUUUUAGUUAUUUAUAUUAAUGAGAUUUUAAAUAAAACCCAUAAUUUAUGAGAUUAAAAAUAUUAAAGAUGAAUUAUGCUCUCCAAUAUUUUGUGUGUGUGUGUGUGGGUACAUUCAUUAAAAUGAACCAAAAAAUUAUUGUACUAAAGCAUGGGUACAUUUUGCAAAGGCACAAAAAAAUAUAUAUAUUAGACUUAAUAACAUUAUUAAAUAUAUUUUGUUAAACUUGACAUGGAUACAUUCUCAAAUCAACGAAAUAGAAUGUACCCAUAUAAGUUUAAAAAAUGGAUUAGAGAAAAUAUUGAAUGAAAUUUUAUAUAUAGAAUGGGUACAUUUUUUACAAAUUGGUAUAUUUAAGAAUGGAUACAUAUAAGAUUAAAAAAUUUAAUGGUUACAAACUUAUUCUAUUUUUUUAUAUUUGGGAAUGGUUGAAUUGAAAAUUAAUUAGGAGCUUAAUAAGGGUGUGAGUAUUAAAACUCUAAAUCAAUUACUAAUUUUUUUUUAUAAAAAUUAUGUAACUUACAUGUAUUAAUAUAUGAAUACUAGAGAAUUUGAUCAAAAUUUAAAAACUGAUAAGAUCUUAAUCAAUGAAUAUUAGAAACUAAAAACAAGAAACUAAUUUUUCCUAUUUUUAAGGAGCCAAGCUUUCCUCUAAUUUCAAAAGGGUAUGCAACUAUAUAGGGGAUUAUCUGAAAGAUGCUUAUUCCCUAGAAAACAACUAGCUAGCUGAUAGCUCUGAGAUGAUACUAAACCAAUCAUUUAAUGUACAUGAAUGAUUUGCAAUAACCUCACUAAUAAAACAGAUAUUAUAUAAAAUGUAACAUCAAAUAAUUUGGAUGGAAUUGGAACUAAUGAUCUAGUAUAAUUAGCUUAUGCACAAAAUUAUAUAGUACUACUGUUCUGUAUUGUUUUUUCCUCAUCUCUUUUUCUGUGUGAUUAGAUUCGUUUUCUUUUGUAGUGACCAAAAUAUCAAGUGCUACAGUAGCCAGGAGCAUUUAAACUUUUUUUCUCCAUAGGGUUACUGUGCCUCUGGGAUGCAUAUCAUAUGACAUUUGUUUGUGUGAAAGAACCUUUGAGUGGUCAAUUAUAUAUGCGGUUUUGAAUAUGAAGGUUUAAUUUUUAUAUGCUUUCACUCGAAUCAAAUGAAAUAAUGCUUUGGCUACGUAACUUCUAUAAUUUUCUCAAUUUAAACAAACUGAAUUUUUAAAUGACGUUAAGUGUACUGCAUCGGCCUCUAACAAAAACAUUAUAAGCACAUAGAGCAAAGGUUAUUGGUGGAGUCGAGUUAUGCUCAACCUAUACAUAGAUAAGCUUGUUGUGUGUAUGUUAAGACAACACUAAUUAAGGCUAAUGACUAUUUAGCCCAAUAAGAUUCUCUUAACAUGCAAAACUUGUCAAAACUCUUCAUUAAGAAAACGAAAAAGAAAAGGAAAAGAAACCUUGCGAUCGAGGAAUUGCCACCAUUCUUUAAAACCAAUCUCUUUUGAGUUCAAACAAAAUAAAAUGUCACUAAUGAUCUAACCUUCCAUUUUGGCACAAUGUUCUUGUCAUUUACUAUUUAUGAAAAGUAGAAAAGAGAAAUAAAAAUUAAGAUCACCAAAUCUUAAUUACUAUUACUAAUAGCCUAGGGGAAUCACCUUUCUACAACAAUGGCUUCUUUUCAAUUUCUUAGUACAAGAAUUGCUUUCAUGACAUGCUCAAGCUGUCCACAUUGAUUAGGAUUCAAAUUAACAUCAUCACAAUUAUCUCCACAACAUUUCCUCAAGAGAACAAUUGCACAAUAUGCAAACCGCCCCACCAAUGUUUUGCUUUGACAAACAACAAAAACCCCACAAGGGAUUUGACUAAUUUCAGGAGUCUUAACCAAAGAAAAAACCAAAAACUCUUCUAAUUAGUGGAUGACACACCCCACCAAAGUUUUACUUGCUAAUUAUUCAACAAGAAUGCCUUAAUAAAGGCUAUAAUAAAAGGCACAUUAGUGGGGAAAGGAGGCUCUUAUCAAAACACCUGAAAAUUGCUUGUUUGCCAAGAUGUGAGAAAGUAAAAAAAAAAAAAAAAAAGAAAAGGAAGAUAGUAGUGCGCUAGCCCACCGUAUAGGCUGUAGGACUUGAAGUUUGUUAUUUAAAGUAAAAAGGAAGUCACAAAUUAAAAAGGGAAGCCGACAUAAGUUUUACAAAACUAAACCAUGACUUGGAAUGACGAGAUCAAGUAUUUUGUACUUAUUUUGUGUGUGGUAUCUAUCAUUAAUUGACACGUGAUUAAUUUAUAAUAAUAAAAUUAAGGAGUGUUAAAUUUAUUAACACGUAUCAGCCAAUAAUAAAGAUCACAGAGAGACCACGUACAAAAUAAGUGCAGAAGAUUUGAAUUGUGUAAUUUCAUCCAAUGUUUUCAUGUAUGAUUCAUAACAUCUUUCAGAUUGAAUUGUUCUAUUUUAUUUAGCGAAGUUUUGGUAGUUGGGAUUAAGGUUUUGUCGAGAUUAUAGCAAAUAUUUUGCUUUCUAAUGACCACAAAGACAACAAGCCCAUAAAUUUAAUGAGUACCUAAUCUAGGGUAUAUUACUUGAUUGGCCCAAAUAUAUAUUGGAUACCAAGUUCCUACAUAUGCUUAAGGCUCAAACCAUGACUCUGGCAAAAAUUGAGGUAGUGGAUUCACGUAUGUUUAUAUUCAUCCAAAGCCCAUAACAUGAGAUUGAGAAUUCUUUUGUUCAUUUUGGAAAUAUCAAGAAACCCAACAAUUUUCUUUUGACAAAUAACAACCAGUCUUUAUUUUUUUUUGUAACUUCAAAAAGCCAAUGUUGCUAGGAAAUUUGGAAAAGAGUAAUGCUUGGGACACUAAUUUUUUUAAACCAAAUGAUGUGUCACUAAUAAGAAACAAGCACAUUAAUCGACACUUGGUUAAUAAUUUAAUCAUCUCCAACCACAUCAUUUAGUUUGCAAAUUUGAUUUAAAAAAUUUGGUCUCCCUAACAUUAUUCUUUGGGAAAAUGUAGUUUUUAGGGGCUCAAAACACUUUUGUCCUCCAUUUUAAUUUUUCUAGAAUUGUCAAGUUUUACGCUGGAACAACUUAACUAACCCUAUGACAAUUCUAGAAAAAUGGAAACCAAGAAAAUAGUUUAAUAUUUGAAUCACAUUAUUGCUAACUCAUUGCGAGGCUUAGCCCAUCCCUUCCUCUUUAGUGUAGAUAAUAUCGUUUGUUUACAACAUGCAAAUAUAAAACUUGGGAGAGUCUCGAGUUUUUUCUUCUUCUAAAUUUCUCAAUUUUACUCGGCGCAAGGUGAAUUAGGUUCGUUCCCUUGGAGUAGAGGAACAUAAAAUAUAGAUACCUAUAUCAAGAAGAAAAAUAUUAUUAGCAUUUUAGCAAGGUUGUCUCUGAGAUUUUAGAAGCUUUGUGCGGAAUUUAUAAAAGGGCCCCUUUAAGAUAGUUUUUUUUUAAUUUUAUUUAUUUUUUAUUUAUUUUUGAAAGUAAGAUAAUGUAUUGAUGCUAGAAAGCAAUAACUUAAAUUAAAACAAACUUUAGGACUCACUAAUUGUAAGUUUACAAACGUCAUUAAAUAAUAAGUAAAAAGAGUUACAAAUAUACCUUUACUAAAUAAUCAAAAGUAGUCAAAUCUUAAACAACCAAACAAGAAAUAAAACUUCAAAAACUCUAACUUUGAAGUUUCACUUGAAUAUAUAGCAUUUAUAAUAUAAUAAAAUUGAAAAGAAAAAAAGCGUUUUAUAGGGUGUUAUACUGCACUCCAAAUUUUAUAAUUAAAAAAAAACAAUUUACAUUUAUAAAGAAUGUACAAUGAGAUUUUAAAAUGCUAAUGAAAAUAAAUUUUUUAAUAUAUAGCAUUAUUACAUAUAAAUAUUAAAUGAUAAUUUUUUUUGGAAGCCCUUCAAAUUUAAGAGUCCAUAUUUUCUGCACCCAAAUCCCUAUGACUCCUCCGUGACCCAUUUAAAUAUGCAACAUGUGUUCAGGCACUCACUAAUAUUAACUCUGUUAAUAUUUCAGUUAGCAUUAACCCCUGUUAUCUGCUAAAAUUAUCAAUCUCCCUCUGUAAGUAAUUUGUUCUUAUUUUAUACGUGAAUGGAUUGACAUAGAUGCAGCUUUUGUUUAUGGUUUUAUUUUUUUUCACGGCCUUUGCCCAGAUUUUGGUCUUGAUUAAACUAAUCCAAGCUGGAUUUCAAAAUUCUCAAUCUUCAUGUCCAAACACUGAACCAUGGAGCCUGGAUUUUGAUCUUGAUAAUUAUGGAAGCCGAAGCGAGGGAGAAGGCGAGUUGCGACAGAGGGAAUUGGAAGAGUCCAAGCGUCAUUUGCAUUUUGCAAUUAUUUUCUCAAAAAAUUUAGCAGAUAAAAGAGGAGAUAACAUGGGUUAAUGCUAACUGAAAAAUUAACAUAGUUAAUAUUAGUAAGUGGUGGACACGUGUCGCAUAUUUAGAGGGGCCACAAGAGUGUUUGAGUGCAGAAAAUUUGAACUUCAGAUGAUUAGAAGACCUUUCGUUCCCCGAAAACCGACUAUAUUUUUUAGACCUAUAUUAUCAAGCAAAUGCAAAAACAAUAUGAAAAGAAAACAGUGAUUAUAAUAGGCUUCGUCAAAGACCAUCACGCUAUAAGAAUCCUUCACUUGGCCAAGCACUGGUUGACUUUUGAUCUCUACGUUGUCCUAACAUACAUCGAUCCUUAUAAAAUUCAUGCCAUAGUUUACAUAGUAAACAAUCAAAUAAAAGUCAUGUCACGUCAUCUUUAUUUCUUGACAUUUAACCGAAAGUAUAUCUCCAAAGUAAUUAACUAUAUUUAAACAAGAAAAAAGAAUUACAUGGGUUUAAUGUACCUUGUGACAAGUAGAAGACAUCAAAAGACAACACCAAACAUAGAAUCCAAAUUCCCUGAUAUUAUCAAAGUUUUCAUCUUUCUUUCUUUGUGUUUGUCCCACUAUUAUUGGGGGGAGUUGGUGGUGGGAUUUGGCCCAAAAGAAACGUUUUAGAAACUUUUGCAAAACAAAGAUUGUACGUAAUGAUAUAACAUACUUUCUUUGACAAUCUCGAUUAACUUAUAAACUUGGUAAAUGAAAUUAAGACCAAAUAAGUUCUUGCCAAAACUAACGUGUGCAUCAAAUUCACGUUACUUAUUCACAAGCUAACGUGGACACCAAUUCACAUUACUUUUCUGAAUAUGGAAAGGGACAUGAGAACAAACAGAAGAGAAAAUAACUGGUGAAAGCCACCAAAAAUUAAUGAGAGAAGAAGACGACGACAUGCAACUCCUACUAAACCCUAAUAAAUGGGGGCAGUUGGUUGUUUAGUUUGAAAUGAUUAAAAUCGCAAGUAGUAGAGAUUGCCCCAUUCCUCUAAGAAAAGAUAUAAUAUUUGUUUUUUUUUUGUUAAACGAUAGAUUUUGUUAGAUUAGAUGUUAGAUUAACCACUGACCGGGUUUGAACCCACGUCGUUAUACAAGAACUCAAGACAUUUUCAUUACUGGUGUAAAGGGCCACUUGCGACAUAAUGUUUGUGUGCAGUGGUAACAAUAUAUAUACUACACAUUUUCUAAAGAGUACUUGAUAAGUUUGCAUUAAUUUUAAGUAUUAACAAAUAAAACACGUAAUUCAAUAUUAAUAGAUUAUAAACCUGUAUGAAAGUGGUUUAAAAAUAAUCUAAAGCGUUUUCAGCUCCCAAUAUAAACGUUUUUAAAUGGCAAGAAAGUUCAAAAAAAAUUUGUUUAAAAAAUCACUUAAAUUGUUUUAUUUUAAAAGUAAAAUUUUUAUUAAAUUUUUUAACAUGAUCUAAUUAAAAAGUUUAACACUUUUACGUAAACUGAUCCUAUAAUGGCUAUGGAUCUGCUGUCUCCAACUACGUGUCUUUUUUGUGUUUCCUUUAUAUUUUUAUGACAUGUGUCCUUUAACUUAACCAAAACUUAACACUGUUAAAUUUUAUUAUUUUGUGUUGAAUAAAAAAAUUAGACCAGUUAUAUUAUCUCUUCCCCCAUCUUCUUACCGACGACCAAGGUACCCACCCUUCGCCAUCUUCUCAUCGACGCCCCGGCGUCCCUCCAUCUCCUCCUCUUCCUUCGUCUCCCUUUGCUCCUACAUCCUUCUCAAUUUUAGCCCAAACAAUUGCUCUCUCCAACUAAAAUCAAUGACACCGACUCCAAUUUGAAGGCCUACAUACCUGACUAUAUGAAUCCCUACUGGAUCCAUUACAGAGCGGAACUUACAAUUGUUGACCUUCAUCGCCAGAUUCAAGGUGGUACAGAUUAUGUAAAGCAUGGUGGUAAGAUCCUUGCUACUAGUAUCGUUGCAUCUGGUGGCUAUGCAGAUGAUUUGGAUAAUUCAAAUUCCUUGAUUAUACAGGCCAAGUAGGAAAUGUGAUGAAUACUGAUUUGGAACCUGAAGAUUAAAAGCUUGAACUGGGAAACCUUGCUUUGAAGAAUAAGUCUGGAUGAAAAGAACGGGGAAAAGAUUGGAAGAAAUCAAGAGCCACACGGAAAAACAGUGAAGAAUUCUAGAUUUAUUAACCGAACAGUCGGUCUGAUUAUUUUGGUUUUUUUUUACUUUUAAAUAUUAAAUAAAAAGUUAACAGAGUUAUAUCUAUGUUAAGUUAAAUGACAUGUGUUAAAAUAUUAACAAAGAGACACAAAAUGAGGCACACAAAAUGAGACAGCAGUGAAGCCUCCUAUAAUACCACCUAAUAGAGUUACAGUGACCUUAAAAUUUUAUCAAAUGUCUGUCAUUGAAUUAACUUAAAGUACAAACCAAUGACCAGUCCAAGCUAUACACCUCUUUGUUUUCAAAGUUUUCACGCACUCACACACUCACAUGUAUAUCCUAUCUUAUACCAAAUUCAUGCGGAUUUUUAUUACAAAUGAUCUUGAAAAUUGAUAAACCAAUUCAAGAUGAUCAUUGAAAUUAAAAAUUGAUCAAUAUAAUCAUUAAAUAUGAAUGCCAUAAAUCAACAUCAUCCAUAUUUAAAGACUACACUAAAUUCAAGCACCCAUGUUUAAAAAUUACAUUACUUAAUUUUCGAUUCAAUUAACAACCAUCUUAAUUAGGUGUGUCGAGACAUCUUGCAAUAAAAAACCAACUCAUAUUGUUUCUUAUUCACUCUCAUGCACUUGCAUUAUCUUGAGGGACAAGGAUUGUCUGCCCUUCAUUUCCGGUGCUCUCUCCGUGCCCACCUGUUUGUGUGAUCACGGUUAAGCCACGUCAACAUUUUAUAUUACUAUUUAUUUUUGUCUUAUUAUAUCUAUAAAAAAAAAUAAUAUAAAAUAUUAACAUACGUGACCACACAAAACAGGAGCGUACGGAGAGCGCACCGGAAGUGGAGGGCAAACAAUCCUUGCCCUAUAUUGAGUCCCUACAUGGCCUGCACGUGUCCCUAGCGACAUCAAUGAAAUAAGGUGAGUGAGCCUAGGGCAGUUGAAGUAAUUAAGGUACUAGUCGACAAUGCAGGUGGAGAGUUACUUAUGGACCCAUCAACUUUCAGUACAUGGUACAUUUUCCUCUAUAAAUGUGGAAUCUAUUUGCUCUUGCUAACACAUUCAGUAGCUCUGAGUUUCUUUCUUCAUCCAUUAGCAUUCUGUUCCAAUAUUUUCAGUCUCAAUGGGGUUCUGUCUUCCUCACAUCCUUGCUUUUCUAACUGUAAGCUUUCUAAUUUUGAAAUAUUACUUUUUGAUUUCAGUUGAUUUGUGUUUGCGUCCGUGAUGGUGCUGAUGAGGGUUCAAAUAUUGUUAAUUUGCAGCUCACACUGGUGGCAUGCCAUGCUGCUCUACCACCUCAACUUUACUGGAACUCUGUCUUGCCAAACUCAAAAAUGCCAAAAGCUAUCAGUGAACUUCUCCAGCCUGCAGGUUAGUAUUAGAGUCUCAGAGAAGCUCAGAUAUUGUGUAUUCCUUAGACAAUAAUUCUAUUUAGACAUACACAAUUAAGAUCACUACUGACACACUCUCUAAUACAGGCGAGUCUAACCAUCGUAUAUAUGUAAAAUGUACAUGUAUUAGAGAGUACAUGUCAAGAAAUGCGUUAUAUAUUCUCUAAAAGUGAUAUAAUCCAUUUGUAAUAGCAACAAUUUAGUAUUAUAAAAGUUGAAGGGAUGGAAUAGCUUAAAUGUUCUCAUUGAUCAAAAUUGGAUUGUGGUCUUGGUAUGUAUAUACACUUAUUUUCUUACAUGUAUGUCACUAAAAGCCACAAUAUAAUAAGUCAAUUUCAAAACAAUCGGUCAACUUUUUAUAAACUUUGCUCCUAGUAUAGUUGACUGAAAUUUCUAAAGCCAUGUCGUUCGUUGAUGCGUUCCUGAUACCUUCAAUAAAUUGACUUCACAAUUGUGCAAAUGUGCCGAUAAACUUUAUGACACUUUUAGCUAUACAAUCUUAUGUUGUUAGAAAAUAUAAUUUGACUUCACAAUUAUGAAUGUGCUGAUAAAUUUGACUUCACUUUUAGUUUUAGAUAUAUGACCUCAACGGCGAAUUCCCAUAUUUUCUAUAUAUGAUCCGAAUAUUCUCACAAAUUUUAGCUUAACAAUUUUGAUGUUCUACCUCUUCUCACCUGUUCUCCAUUAUGUUUGCUAAAAUUUGCAGAUUUCACAGAGGAUAAGAGCACCUCUGUUGUAGUAGGAAAGGGUGGUGUCAACGUUGAUGCAGGAAAAGGAAAGCCCGGAGGCACCCAUGUCGAUGUUGGGAAGGGUACUGGAGUGCAUGUGGAAGCCGGAAAAGGAAAGCCAGGCGGUGGCACUAACGUGAACGUAGGAGGCAAAGGCGGUACUGGGGUGAACACCGGGAAGGGAACCAACGUUGGUGUUGGCAAAGGAGGAGUGUCCGUAAACACAGGGCACAAGGGAAAGCCCGUGUAUGUUGGAGUAAAACCAGGACCAGACCCUUUUAACUACCAGUAUGCAGCCACCGAAACCCAACUCCAUCAAGACCCAAACGUUGCUAUUUUCUUCUUGGAGAAAGACAUGCGUCCUGGAACAACAAUGAACUUGCACUUCACCACAAAUUCAAACACGCAAACUUUUGUGCCGCGCGAAACUGCGGAAUCCAUCCCAUUUUCGUCCAACAAGCUGCCAGAAAUCUUCAACCAAUUUUCAGUGAAAUCGGGUUCCGUGGAAGCGGAUAUAAUCAAGGGUACAAUUCAAGAGUGUGAGAAUCCAGCCAUUAGAGGAGAGGAGAAAUAUUGUGCUACCUCUUUGGAGUCCAUGAUUGACUUUAGCACUUCUAAGCUUGGAGGAGGAAAUGUUCGAGCAAUUUCGACAGAAGCCGGAAAAGGAGCUACAUUGCAGAAGUACACAAUAACUUCUGGAGUGAAGAAGUUGGCGGCGGAUAAGUCGGUCGUGUGUCACAAGCAGAACUAUCCCUAUGCUGUCUUUUACUGCCAUGCAACAAAAACAACAAGAGCUUAUGUGGUGCCCCUGAAAGGUGCUGAUGGGGUGAAUGUUAAAGCAGUAGCAGUCUGCCAUACAGACACAUCGGAGUGGAACCCUAAUCAUUUGGCCUUCCAAGUUCUCAAAGUUAAGCCGGGAACUGUUCCGGUCUGCCAUUUCCUUCCCAGUGAUCAUGUUGUCUGGGUUCCAAACCAGAAAUCUACCUGAUUUGACUGAUCAACCCUUGAGUUCUACGUAUGAUGAUGUGAUCAGCUCAAUCAGCAUAGUUUGAGUGGCAAGAGUUUGAAAUUAAAUCGACCGUCGAUUACUUCUUAUUGUCACUAUGUAUUUCAGCCUAUAUAUAUACUCAUAAAUGAAAGCAUACUAUCGUGUGGACUUGUACCAAAAAGCAUGCUAGUGGACAUGCUCUACUACAUUCAGUAAUAGUUAUAUAUGCUUUGAUUCUGUGGUGCCAUCUGUCCACUGGUUCAGUUUUAAAUUGUCGUGCUAUUAUAUGCAUGAUACACGGGUUUCAUCUCCUUUGUCUUAGGAGAGGGAGGGAGUUGAGUACGUUGCAUGUCGAUAAUUAACAAAUUUUGUAUAUACUUAUAAGGAAGUGGAACCUUAAUUUCUUUUACGAUCUAAUCAAAGCAGUUACCCAGGGACUGCCAAGAAGCUAAAAUCCCAAACCAAGGAGGGCACCAGAUAACAAAGGGAAGUUUCAUUUGUACAAAUAAAAAUCCACAAAAAAAUCUCGCCACAAAAGUACAAAUUCAAAAAAAAAAUCAGGCCACUAUUGCAUGCUUCAAAAUUAAAGAAAAUUUCAGGCCACUGCAUGCUCUUGCUUUCCGGGUUUUCCCCACAAAGUUUUCUGUUGACAGGUAGGCCGACAAAAAUAUGAGCGCUUCACACCAGGCAAUGGCAAGGGCUGCAUGUUUUACACCUAAUCCCAACAAAUUUGGUAGUUCACCUUCUUACUUCCCCAUAAAUAUUGAACCCAUAUGCUACUGUUUACCAUAUCUCUCUGAGUUUUCAUGUUUCAUCCAGUAAUUUUCGUUUGUGUUGCAAAAGUUGAGUCUUAAUGGGGUUCCUUCUCUCCAGAAUCUUUGCUUUUCUAACUGUAAGUAAGAGCUGUAAUUUUGAAUCCUCCCUGUUACUAUAGUUAAUUUGAUUGAUCUUAUGUUUUUGCUAAUUUUAUUUUCUUUCUCUCUUACUAAUUGUGCGAGUUUAAUUUCAGCUCACACUGGUGGGUGUCCAUGCUGCUUUACCUUUGUCACCUCAGCUUUACUGGAAUUCCGUCCAGCCAAACUCACCAAUGCCGAAGAUAUCAGUCAACUAGUCCAGACUGGUUAGUAUCUAUGUACAACCUCAGAUUGGCUUCAAAAACUCAUUUCCACAACCAAUCGUCCUUGUGAUUUACACAUGUUUUCACUUUUGCACAAGAAGAAAAAGAGGCAACAACCGCGGAACAAGUUUGGCUGUUGUUACUAGCCUAGCGAUUGCUAAAUACGUGACAAAAAGUUAAAAAAGCGCACCAAAAAGUAAAAAAUUAUGACAUACUGUUUGUCACGCUUCUAGGAAUAGCUACACUAGAAAUAGCACCCUGGCUCCAUAGCUAUUUAUGUUGGUAAAUCCGCAGACUUCAUUACUGUUGGCAAAGGGGGAGUUAUUGUUCAUAACCAAGUUGCAGAUGUUGCAACUAACGUUCAAUAUCUUUACCGGGAUGAUUCAACUGAAGGCAAGAUGCAGAUCAAAAAGUAAAGACAUAAAGAUGCUGCUGAAAAUCCAACACUUGAAGACCCAACUCGAGUAAUUUUCUUCUUGGAGAAGGACAUUCAUCCUGGCACAACAGUGAAUUAUCACUUAUCCGGAAAUUCAACCAGAGAAACUUUCCUGUCCCGCAAGACUGCAGAGUCCAUCCCCUUCGGCUCAAGCAAAUUGGCAGAAAUUCUUAACCGAUUUUCAGUGAAACCGGGGUCUUUGGAAGCCGACAUAAUGAAAGAAACCAUCCAAUAUUGUGAAGGGGUGGCCAUGAGAGCCGAAGAAAAAUAUUGUGGUACCUCUCUAGAGUCGAUGAUUGACUUCACCACCUCCAAGCUUUGAAGAAAUAAUAUUAAAGCAAUCACGACGGAGGUGGAAAAAGGAGCUGCCCCGCUGCAGAAUUACACAAUAACCCCUGGAGUGAAAAAGCUGGCAGGCAACAAACUUAUUGUGUGCCAUAAGAUGAUCUAUCCAUAUGCCGUUUUCUACUGCCAUGCAAUUGAAAAAACAAGGACUUUUAUUGUGCCUCUCAAAGGCGCUGACGGGACGAAUGCUAAAGCAGUAGCAGCCUGCCAUGAAGACACAUCUGAAUGGAGCCCAAAACAUUUUGCCUUCAAAGAGCUCAAUUUUGAGCCAGGAACAACUGAAUCCCAUUUGCCAUUUUCUUAAAAACGAGAAUGUUGGUUGGGUUUCAAAACAAAAACCUACAUGAGUUGAAUCCGCCGCUCGGGUCCUCUACUUGAUUAUGUAGCCCAUCAAUAGGAGUAAUUAGCCCGCUCCAUUAAUAAAAACAAUCGCAUGAGACAGAUGAGCUGUUUAUGUCUGAGACUGCGUACUCACUUCAUAACAUAUUCUUAUUACUCAUUAGCAACGCAAAAUUCCCUCUUGUAAUAGAGACGAAAAAAGUACCACCCCCCCCCCCCUUCCCAAAAUAAAAGCAAAGAAAAAAAAUAGAUGAGUAUAUUUUAUUGUAUCUCUUAAUCUUAUCCUACCUCCCAUAUCAAUAAUUUGAAUGAAAAAAAUAAGAGUAAUGCUAAAGAAACUAAAUUUGAAGAUUAAAAUUGCAAACUAAAUGAUGUAUUACUAAUAGAAAUAAGCACGUCUUUUAAGACUUAAGUAAUAAACCAAUCAUCAAUUUCCAUGUUCUUUAGUUUUCAAAAUUUAGUCUCCAAAUUGAGACUCCCUAGCAUUACUCAAAAAAAAAAAAAAAAUAUCAAUGAAUAUGGAAAAAAAUAUAUAUAAAACGGUUGAUCUCUAUUAAACCUGCUAAUGACCCGAAGCAUAAAGUACUUGCUACCGGUGAAAUAAACACUCGCAUUACUCAAAAAUUAAUAAUAUCAAUGAAUAUGGAAAAAAAAUAUAUAAAACGAUUGAUCUCUAUUAAACAUGCUAAUGACCCGAAGCAUAAAGUACUUGCUACCGGUGCAAUAAACACUCGCAUUUGAAGAACUCCUCUAUUGUAUUUGUAAUACAUAAUGGUAAUAUGUAUAUGAUCAGAUUUGUUUAUGCAUAGUUACCCUACUUCCUCUUGUGGAACUCCAGGUUGAGGAGUUAGGAGAUCUACAAGUUUGCUAAAGUGAACCACUCUAUCACACUGAGGAUUUGUUUGAUAAUGAUUUUGUUUGCAAUCUGGGAGAAGUAGUUACAAAUCUGCUAAAGUGAACCACAACAGUCAAUCACAUGACUAAGGGUUUGUGUGAUAAUCGUUUCGCUUUUUUGUAGUUUUCGCCUUUAGUGCUUGCUAUAUGGGAAAAAAAAAAAAAUAUAUAUAUAUAUAUAUAUAUGGAAAGAAAGAAGGAUGAAGGAAAAAUGGUAUAGUGAAUGUAGAUGAAAUAUACAAGGAAUGAUACACACUAAAAACAAAAAAUUUUAAGUUAUUUUCAUCUUCAAAAUUAUGUUUUCAUUCGUUGUUCUCUAUUUUUGAAUCACAAGUUUGAGUGACCAAAAUAGCCUAAGGGUAUAAAUGACAUUCGCAAAAUAUAGGAUGACUCAUCAUCACUCGGUAAGAAGUUGGUUAGUUGGAUCAAAGGUUAAUGUACCUUAGUUGAUAAGCAAAAUCACGAAGACUAAACUUAAUAAUUGAAACAUAAAUGGUCUUAUUUCUAAUUAUGUGCAAAAUGACUUUUUUAGAGGCGUUGUUUUUCUUUUUUGGACAAAGGUAAUUUUCAUUACCAAAAGAGCACAAUUACAGACAAAGAGGCCCAAAUACAUUGUAAACACAAAACAAAAAGUGAACCCCCAACACUAAACAAAAGCUCAACCCGAGAGAAGGGCCCAAAACAGAAAACCUUACAAGACUAACUUCCUCCGUCGUCGUCAAAGAACCGGCAGCCGACCACAAUCCAACAACCUAGGCCAAAGAUCUCACCAAACACAGCGCCAAAGAAGAAGGCUCCAUCUUCCUCCACCAAACACCACACAAAUUGAAACCGCAACCACCAAAGAAAGAAGCCAGAAGGAAAGAACUUUCCCCUAGCAAAAAAAGCCGAAAACGGCAUACAAUUGGAAGGUGGUGGUGUGUACACCAUAUGAGCAGAAGCUCUGCACACCUUCCUAGAAAACCUCGAAACACAGGUGGAAGAGAUGGUUGCAGAAUUGAACAUGUGUGAGAAUGAUGUAGGACAGAAGCAAAUGGAAAAGUAAAAAAAUGGCUGGAUUAGAGUCAUGGAGGUGGAAAAACUUGAGAGAGAAGAAGAAAAAGGAAGGUUGGAAGUGGGACUGUCAGAUCAAGACUGAUGAAAGGUUAGAGCGGAGGUUGCAUGGGGAUUACCAAAAAAGACGGCCAGAAAAACAUGGAGAAAGCCAAUCUCAUAGCUCGAUGUAUCCAGGACUCAAUCUACUAGUCACUCCAUUAAUGUUGAAUUAAAUACUCCAAUUUAUUUCCACACAAAGAAACAAAUCAGAAACGUAAGAAAAAAUUAAGACCACCGCAUGCUCUGCAUUUUCGGUUUCAUCUGGUAUGGAUUAUUGGAUUUUACUGAUAGAUCCAUGUUUUAAUUUGUGAAAUGUUAAGGAGAUUCUCUCAAAGUGACAUUUUUCAUGGACUUUCUGCCUCCUCAUGGUUUUGACACUAUUUUAUAAUGUUGGCACGAAAAUUUUGCUAAAAACACUAAAUGACGUAGAAUCCACGAAUAGUCUUACUUUUGAGAGAAUUUCCUUACUAUUUCUAAUUGAAUUUGAUUCAAAGUUGGGAAUAAAUGUGGAACAUCACACUAGGCAGUGGAAAGGGGCACAUGUUACACCUUAUUGAUGCACAAAACCGGAGGUCUUGGAACAACGUAAAUCCGAUCGUGAAUCUGCAUGAAAUGUAAAUAACACAAGAUGUAUCGUGGUUCAUCCCAAGGUUUGGGCUACGUCCACACUGAUUAUGUAUUUAUCUGAGAGGUGAGGGAAAGAACCUCUGAAUAUGAUAAGGGACGUGAGAGGGGUGAGAAGGCUUAAGAAAUGGCAUCCCCCAAUUGUGAGGGUGAUGGGUCCUUUUAUAGAAUAAUGACUCCUCACUUAUUACAUAUUUGCCAUUUCCUUUAUCACAUAAUUGCAUUUAAGUCCCCCGAGUAUUUGUACAAGAUCUAAAUACGAGGCCCUAAAUAUGGUAUAAACAGUAGUCCCCCAAGUCUUCGGUCAAUAGAGUCUUUUGGCUGGAGACUUGAAAUUCAGUUCAUGUGUGGGCCGAAGUAACUAGAUGUUGUCUUGAACUGAUGCUCGAUAUGAGGCGGUGCUCCAUCUGAAAUGAUGCUCUACUAGAAGUAGCACAUGCUGCAAGGUUGCUCGGCUCGUGGCUUAUGUUGCCUUGGUUGGCUCGGCUUGUGGCGUUGGGAGGUGAGGGAGUCCAUUUUAUAAAAUAAGGGUUCGCUCCUCAAUACAUAAAUGAUGGGCUAGAGUUGAUACUCGCGGCGAGGUGGUUGCUCAAUAGGCGGCGAUACUCUCUAAUGGUGGUAAGGGAGUCCCUUUUAUAGAAUAAGGGCUCGCUCCUCAAUACAUAAGUGAUGGGUUAGGAGUGAUGCUGGCGGCGUUGCUCUCUAAUGAAGGUGAGGGAGUCCCUUUUAUAAAAUAAGAGCUCGCUUCUCAGUACAUGAAUAAUGGGUGAUCUCUAAUGAAAGUGAGGGAGUCCCUUUUAUAGAAUAAGAGUUCGCUCCUUAAUACAUAAAUAAUGGGCUAAGUCCCCCAAGUAUUUUUCAUGAGGCCCAGUUGAGGCCCAAUAUAUGGUACAUAGUGUAGUUCCCCAAGUCUUCGUUCAAUAGAGUCUGUUGGCUGGAGACUUCAAACUAAAUCCAUAUAUGGGCCAAAAUGGCGGUUGUUCGGAUAUGGUAUUUGUAUACCUUGCACUGAAGCUUUGUAGGUGAAACUUUGCAAACUAGAGCUCUGUAAAUGAAGUUUUUAAAGCUAAUUGACAUAAGUGAUGUUCAUGAAUGUUUAUGUUGAUUGACAUGAGUGAUGCUCAUGGAUGUUGUCAUGAGUGAUGCUCAUGAAUGUUAACAUGAGUGAUGCUCAUAAAUGUUGACAUGAAUGAUGGUCAUGAAUGUUUAUGUAUGAUUGUUAUGAGUGAUGCUCAUGAAUGUUUAUGUAUGAAUGACAUGAGUAAUGCUCAUGUAUAAUUUGGAAUACUAGGCGUACUUUUGAUCACCUGGUUGGUGGCAUGAAGGAGAGUACGAGUUGUAUAUUUCAUCACCUGGUUGGUGGCAUGAAGGAGAGUACAUAUUGUAUAUUUCAUCACCUGGUUGGUGGCAUGAAUGGCUAGUUGCCAAAAUGAUAUUAGAGUACGGGUUCUACAUUUUAUCACCUGGUUGGUGGUAAUAGCGGCAGGUUGCCGAAUAAUUGUGGAGUACUGGGCGUACUUUUGGUCACCUGGUUGGUGGUAAUAGCGGCAGGUUGCCAAAUAAUUGUGGAGUAUUGGGCGUACUUUUGGUCACCUGGUUGGUGGUAAUAGCGGCAAGUUGCCGAAUAAUUGUGGAGUACUAGGCGUACUUUUGAUCACCUGGUUUGUGGUAAUAGUAGCAGGUUGCCGAAUAAUUUUGGAGUACUGGGCGUACUUUUGAUCACCUGGUUGAAGCUAUUUUGGGCUUAUGGGCAUUCGCCCUCCACAACAUGCCAGCCCAUUUAUUUUGGGCUUUUCCGGUUUUUUUUUUUUUUUACCCUCUGAUGGGGUUUAUACAAAUGUCUCUAAAAGAUAAGAAAAAUAAAUUACAUCAUACAUCUGUCAAAAAAGUAAAUCACAUCAUUAUGGGGGGUGUUUAUUCCUUACUUUUGCUUUCUCUGAAAUAUUCUCCCAACGACAUGAUCUUUUUUCUUUUUCUUUUUUGUUCCUUUACCCUGAUCUCUCCACCUCCAGGCACACUCACUUGCUUUUGCUUUCGUUUUUUGAUUUGAUUUUCCUUUUCUGAUCAAGUACCUGACAGCUUGGAAUAUAUUGUAAUCAAGUGACCAGAGAGUAGGACUAGUGGAUACCUCUCUUCUGUUUUUCUUUUCCUUUUGGCAUAAGGUAGACAAAAGUAAUAGUAGUAGACUUAUUAUUGAGAAAGCUUAUCUUCUUCAUGAGUGUCUCCACUGGUGGAUGAGAGGUAGCCUAUGUAAAAGUCUUCUUCUUGGCAAGAUCGCUAGAAGCGCCAGAAGCUUUUGUGGAAGAAUUAGAUGUAGCAGGCUGCGAAAGAAAUAAAUGCAGCAGGCUGCUGUGAGCUCUUAAGCUGCGGGUUGGCGAUAGCAUGGCUGCUACCACCACUUGAAUACGAAAGAGUAAGAUCCAUCUGAACGAAAUUCGCUCAUACCCAAGGCUUCAACAACUCCACUCUUAUCAUCCAUUGAAUUUCGAAGAAGACAAAGCAAAGACUCCCACAUAUUUCUAUUAAGAGAAUCCCCAACAAAAACUAGUCGCUUUCCUCUCAAUAGUCCCAACAUGUUCUUACCAUCUAACCUUGGAAGAUUGCAAUGUUUGAGUUGCCAUCUAUACUUUUCGUAGCAAUUAUCCGGCCUCUUAUUAAGAAAACAAUUGAAGGAUUCAUCAAUAAAAGGAUAAGAACCCGGAGCAUAAAGCGGAUACGAAUCAUCUCUCACCCACAUUCCAUCAAACAUGUCACAAUCAUCCCUCGAAAAUUCAUAACCGGGCUAAGUUUGAUUACUCUGCUUCUUAGAUUCAGACAAUGCCUCACUAGCAUCAUCACUCUCUAUCGAGGUCAAUGCCACUGCUUGCCCCAAAACCCCAUCAGAAUCUUUAGCAAAAGAUUCAUUUUUUCUUGAACCCUCCAGUUUCUCGGAAAAUCCCAUUUUCCCAGUUACUUGAAUCGUAGUGUUCUGGGACGAAGUCUGAUUGGAUUCUUAGGGUAAGAAAAGAAUUGCGUUUGGCAGUUGGGCACUAGCCAUAUCAGACUGCAAACCUCCACUCUCAUCUAAACGUAGGAAAUAUUCAGCUUUCCAGGAAAAUGGGUUUCCCGGGAAAGUUCAAAAGGGGUUUUGAAGAUGUUCUUGAAGCCAAAAGGGAAAGAGUAGCCAAAUGGGUUGAAAACCAGGAAGAAAGUUCAAGCGAUGCAGACGAACGAGAAGCCAUAGGCAAAGGCAGCGGUUUUUCUGGAGGGGAAGAAAAUUGGGGAAGAAAGAGAGGGUUUGGAGAAGGCCUCUGGUCUUGGGAUUGUGGGGGAAUGCUGGUGCUUUGUGGGUUUUGGGGUUGUCUGGGUUUUUGUGAUUUUGCAGAUUCACAGUGGUGAGAUUUGAUGAAAAAAUGAAAGAGAACUGACAUAGUUUUUAUGUCGUUUCCCACAGACGGCACCAAAUGUUGAUGCACAAAACCAGAGGUCUUGGAACAACAUAAAUCCGAUCGUGAAUCUGCAUGAAAUGUAAAUAACACGAGAUGUAUCGUGGUUCACCCCAAGAUUUGGGCUACAUCCACACUGAUUAUGUAUUUAUCUGAGAGGUGAGGGAGAGAACCUCUGAAUAUGAGAGGGGAUGUGAGAGGGGUGAGAAGGCUUAAGAAAUGGCCUCCCCUAAUUGUAAGGGUGAUGGGUCCUUUUAUAGAAUAAGGACUCCUCACUCAUUACAUAUUUGCCCAUUCCUUUAUCACAUAAUUACAUUUAAGUCCCCUGAGUAUUUGUACGAGAUCUAAAUACGAGGCCCUAAAUAUGGUAUAAACACACUUAAUCCCAACAAAUUUGGCACUUUAGUUGACUUCUUCUAUAAAACUUGAACCAUUCUCCUAUUGUUCACCACAAAACCUGAGUUUUCUUGUUUCAUCAUUUUCAAUAGGGUUCCUUCCCUUGAGAAUCUUUGCAUUUUUUACUGUGAGUAAACUGUGUAAAAUUUGAAUUUUCCCAAUAUAUUUGGCUUCGGUCAGGUGAUGUAGUGGCUUUGGUCGAUUAUGAUAACACUACUAAAAACAUUAUAUAUGAUAUAUGUUUUAUGAAAGGUUUUAUGGCAUGAUAGGUUUUCGGAAAACCUAUUACAUUUUUAGUCAAAAUGGUCCCUGAGAUUUGCAUGACACAUCACUUUGAUCCUGGAGAUUGAAAAUCAAUAGAAAUGGUCCCUGAGAUUGUCUACCAUCCAUUAUUUUGGUCAUUCCGUUAAAAACUUCAUUAAGUGUUCUGGAGCUCUUGGCCGAAAGUUUGGACAAUUUUCAAAGUUUCGUAACUUAAUCGUUUAUUAACCAAAUUCAAACCAUGAUACAUCAAAAUGAAGAUAGGAACGUUGAGAAAAAUAUUAUACCUAUUUAGAAGCCCAAUGGUUGUCGUAGAUGGCCGAAAAAUAGCCUGAAAGGUGACUGGUCCACCGGAAAACUGAAAAACUCGUUGGAAACUGGGUAAACUUUAAACGUUCAUAACUUCUUCAAAACUCAACAAAAUCGAGUGAUUCAAAAACAAAAAUCAUACUUCUCGACAAGAAAAAUAGAAUGAUACCUUUCUUGAUGGCUAAAUCAUCGUGCUUUGGCUGAAAAACGGCCCGAAAAUUAUUGUCUUGGUCUCGAGUUAGCCACUUUUAGGCCGUUUACGGACCAAACCACGACGAAUUAGUUAUCGAGAAAGGUACCAUUCUCUUUGUCUCAUCAAUAAUUAUGAUUUUUGUUUUUGAAUCACUCGAUUUCGUUAAAUAUUGAAGAAGUUAUGAACGUUUAAAAUUUACCUAGUUUCCAAUGAGUUUUCCAGUUUUCCUAGGGACCAUUCACAUUUCAAGCUAUUUUCCGGCCAUCUCGGUAACCAUUGGGCUUCCAAAUAGGUAUAAUCUUGUUCUACACUUUCCUAUCUUCAUUUUGAUACAUUAUGGGUCGAAUUUGGUUAAGAAACGAUUUAGUUACGAAGUUUUGAAAAUUGCCCAAACUUCUGGCCAAGAGUUCUGAGACACUUAACGGAGUUUUUAACGGAAUGACCAAAAUAAUGGAUGGUGGACAAUCUCAGGGACCAUUUCUAUUGAUUUUCAAUAUCAGAGACCAUUUUAACUAAAAAACCUACAUAUUAUUACUAUUGAGUUUUCAUAAACUUUGGGGGUUAGUACGUUGAUGAAUAACUGUUUCUGUAUUACUUAUAUAUCAACUUGGUCCACUCAUGUUUUGUUUUGUGCCCCCUCAAGAUUUAGAAUCGAGGCAUACAAUCCUGACGUUAGGGUACUCCCGCAUCGGCAUCUUUAAGUCCUCUCGGUGUAGGACCCAUCCCUUUGUUCAUUCAAUUUUAUAUUAUUCCUUUGUAGUGUCUUGGGUUAGUUAUAUGCUCUGAAUACGUUCCACAAUUGCAUAUUCAUUAUAAUUAAAUUUACAACUUUUAUUUAUGUCAGUUAUUUGUUUUUAGUUCUCAUGCAUCCUUUUAUGGUUUCGUCACCUUCGAGUGUCGGCCAGUACGUGUCUACCCCGAUGUUUGGAGGAUAUCAGGGUCGGGCGUGUCACAUAGGUACAUAAGUAUCGGUUCAUAAGUUUUGGUAACAAUAUAUCGAUACAUAACUUUUAAAACGAAUGUAUCUGUACAAAUGUAUCGGUACGUAACUAUAGUAUUUAAACAUACAUAUGUACGUAAUAUGCAUAUACAUAUAUAUGGAGAAAUUCACGCACAAUAAAAAAAUAUAUGAUAAUAUAUGACUUCUUUUAUUAUGGAAACUUAACAAUAACCAUCAAUGAUAAAUAACAUUUUUAUUAUUUAUGGGAAUCAAUAUAUAACCUACAAACAAAAAAGUCAAUAAUUACUACAACCUAUUUAAUAUUAAAAAAUUAUAAUUAAAUGCCAAGGAUUAGAAUGAUUUUUUAACAAAAUUUAAUGAAAAUGAUUUGAAAAUUUUGAGUUUUACCGAUAAGGACAAAAUAAAGGGUAAAGUGAAUAAUACCAUGAUUGAUUUUUUGGUGUAAAAAUAUGAUUUUUCGUUAAAGUGAAUAGUAUCAUGAGUUUUUUUUGUUAAAGUUACCUAGUUUUUAAUCUUAGACAAGAUUUUAUUCAAAAAGUAAUCUUAGACAAGAUUUUAUUCAAAAAGUAAUCUUAGACAAUGAUUAGAAUAUAAUUUUAAUUUUUUUUUAACAAUCUACUGUGAGAGACAGAGAGAGUAGGCUAAGACUAUAAGAGCUAGUAAUAAUGUAGUUCAAAUUUACUUUUAUAAAAAAUCAAACCUAAAAUUUAUCAUUUAUAAGUGAAAAAAAUAUCACUAAUUGUAGUAUUUAUCUUUUAAACAUUAUACACAUAGGUAACUAUGUACUUUUCCCGUGUGAUACACCAUUGGAAGUGCUUUUCGGAACAGCGUGCAUGUCGCUUUUGAGAUAAGAUCUUGUCCAAAUGUCCAUGGCUUCGUGACAGCUGUGAGAAAGUGACGAUCAACCUACAUGCAAGUUGCUUGAGGGAGCACAAGUGCUCUGCCAACUUUGAGUAACUGACGAUCACAUACGGAAAAUGAUUCCGGAUCAUUUUCUUAGGAAUUCUGUAAUCGUAUAUUAUGUGAUCAGAAAUUAUUUAAAAUUUAAAAUUUAAAAUUCAAAUAUAAAUAGUACAUAACGAAAACUAACUUCAUGAUAUAUGAUGAACAAACAUAAUUACUAUGUAUGAUGAACGAACAUAAUUACUAAAUCCCUUGGAAAAUGAUCAGCCGAGGAUCAUUUUUCCGUCACAUACAUGCAUGUUGGCAGAGCACUUUGAAUUGGGGCCCUAAAUAAGUCUUCGAAUUGGCUCUAAAGUAGUAAAAUGUACUGACACGUGGCGCUUUAUACAUUAAUAUGUAGAAAAAAUUCUGCUAAAUACAUGAAAAAUAUAUGGGUAAAUUACAAAAAAACUACCAUAAUUAUUGAUUUUACGACAUUUUUAUACCUCAUGUCAGAGCUCUGUCAGUUUUUCUGUUACUUUUCUUGUUAAAUGCUGACGUGAACCUCGGCGUCAAUCACAAGAGACUGAAACCGUUUGUAGGGUUUGUAUGGACGACAACGACAAGGAGGCUUGAGCUCACGGCGUCAAUCAUAAGUGUCUUGAGAUUUCAAAAUUGGGGAAAACAGAGAAAAUGAGAUGGAUUAGGAUCUGCAGGUACAUUAGUCGAUCAUCCCCUCUCCAAAGCAUUUCCGGCGACCUGCCAACGGGGACCAGCGGAGUGGCAGCGAUUGAAUAGAAGGACGACGAUGGCGGUGAAGACGGAGACGAACAGCGCGAGGCAAUUGAAGAAACGACAGAGAGUUGGCUCUGCAAUGACGCCAUUGGAGAGAGGGAAACCCUAGGAAGAGAGCUAAGAGAGGAGAAAUGUACUGGUUUUGAAUAGCCUGAUACUACAGUGAGAGGAGAGGAGACACGUGGGUGAUUGAAAGGUGCGAGGGAAGCUCGCGUGUGUUUGAGAUUAGAAUUAGGACAGCUAGUUGUGCGGGAAGUUGAGGAUCGCUUUGGCGCCCCGAAGCUUGAAUGCUGCUCGAUCGUAAGCCUUGGCUGCUUCAAUCGCCGUGUCGAACUGGAUCCACUCAGUUUUGUUGGGAAGCGAGAUUAUGAGUGCUGGCUUUCGGAAUGGGUUAGCGGGUUUAGGUUGCAGGGAAGGGGAAAGAGAAGGAAUAUGGGUUUUGGAUUUGGGUUGCGGGAAAGGGGUCGGGGAAGAUAAGGUGUUUGGUUUUUUGUUUUUUGUUUUGUUUUUUUGUUUUUUUAAGGGUAAAUUAUUAUUUUUAUUAAUUUUUUAAUAAAUUGUGGAAUCCGAAUCAAGCCAUAUCAUCAUUUAACCGAGAAAUUCACAACCAACCCAAUGAAUGUAUAAUGGACCAAAUUUUAGAGAUGUGGUAUGACAUUGUCAAUUUUAAUGGAUAAAGUAUGAUAGUGUAGUGAGACGAGGUAAUUUUUUGUCAUUUACCCCAAAUAUAUUUAUGCAUCAAAUACAAUUAAAAAUUAAUAUAAAAAAAAUCAAAUACAAUUAAAAAUUAAUAUAAAAAAAAUAGAGAUAUACAAGCAACAACUACGCCUGUUCCACUACAUCAGCAUGCUUUCUAUGUCAUGUAUUUGACUUUUAUCCUAUUUAUAAGAGAAAUAAAUAUAUUAAAAAAAAUUUGGAGCCCCAAAAAAUAGGACGUCCUAGGCGGUCGCCUUACUCGGAAGAUUAUGCCGCGUAUCAAAAUAAAACUAAGACAACGUUGUCCACAAAAUAGAAACAUUGGGUUGGGUUUCAGGUCGUCUUCUUAGAAUCGCACGAGGCCCCUCUGAGUAGUGAGUACUAGUAAGCAGUAACAUACUAACAUGGAGCAAUUCAAAGGGCAGCCUCGGCUUCCGAAAUUCGCCUUGCCGAAACGGUACGACUUAAGGCUGAAGCCAGACCUCAAAGCUUGCAAAUUCAGCGGCUCCGUCGCCAUUCUCGUCGACAUCGUCUCCGAGACCCGGUUCAUCGUCCUCAACGCUGCCGAGCUCUCCGUCAAUGCCGUUUCCGUCUCUUUCACUCACACAGAUUCCUCCAAUGUGUAUUAUAUACUACUGAUCUCAUCUGAUCAUCCAUGCAAUUAACUAGGAUGCCUAAUUUGAAAGCAGACACUCCUCGAUUAAUUGUUUUAAUUUCCUUUAAGUGCUCCUGCUGUUCUGUUCAUGCUUUCAAAUAAUUAAUAACUGGAUGGAUUGAUUAUAUAAAUUCAAGUUAUGAAGCACCGAUCAAUUUAUUCAAUCCUGAAUCGAGGAAACACCAAAACACAUAUAUAUGUACUCUCCGUCUCCGAUACGACCACCCGAAACGAGAGUGUUUUUUACCCUACACAUUAAACUUUGAAGUGAGGGUUGCGUUCAGGCUUCUAUGGAUCCACAUGCUAAAGUAUUGCUGACGGAGGUGGAAAUUUUAUUAGAGCUCAAGAAUUUAUCGGGGUUUACUGCUUGUUAGGAUUUCUACUUGUUGGGAUAGGAAACAGGUGGAAUGACGGAAAAGAGAGAGAACAGUUUAGUGGGUGACUUUUGAAUUCUUUAUCUUUAUCCAAAAAUUAGUUUUACAUUUUUAAAUCUUUUCAAAAAUUAAAGGGCAUCAUUUAAUUUCAAGUUAACCAGGGUAUUAUACAGGACACGUGGCAAGCUCAUUAGGUGAUGGUGAGUAGAAAUGUUCCCAUUUAAUUAAUGUAAUCAUUUCAAUAUUUACUAUGUUUUAAAAUGAUUUGUUAUUAUCACUGAUUUGGUAAUAUUCUUUUUUAUUUGGAAGUGUUCGAAUCUCGUGAAUAGCAAAUUCGAUACCAAAUUAGGUUGCUCAUUGUAUGACUUAGUCGAACUCCCCCUCCCCUAGUGUAAAAAUAUCGAUGUACUAAAAAAAAAGAAUUUUUAUUGACACUCCAAAAAAUAUCAUUUGUACUCCAAAUUUUCUAUAAUUAAAAAAAAUACAUUGAAGUAUAAAAUGAGAUUUAUGGAGUGCUAAUAACAUUUUCCAUUUUAAAUAUUUUUAAGGUUAAAAAUAUAAUUUUAAUAUUUUUCAAUUGUAGCAUAAAUUUUGAGUUUUCAUGAAUGGCCGAACUCCCCUCCCAAAUCCCGGCUCCCCUAUCCUUGCUACAUUUUUUUUUUGAACAAACGAUAUUAUUUACAUUGAGGGGGAGAGGUGGGUUUAGCCUCACAAUGGGCUAGCAAUAAUGUGGUUCAAACUCACUUUUGACGAGACUCGAACCUAAGAUCUGUCACUUACAAGAGAAGAGAAGAGAAAUAUUAUUAAACCGUAAUACUAAGUGGCAUUCUUGCUACAUAUUAAGAUGCUAAUUUUUUUUUUUUAACAAACGAUAUUAUAUAUACACUAAGGGGUACGGGAGUGAGCUAAGCCUCACCCUCACAUUGGGCUAGUCAUCAAUAAUGUGGUUCAAAUUCACCUUGGCAAAAAUCGAAUAUAAAACCUAUCACUUACAAGUGAAGAGGAAUAUCACUAACCGUAAUACUAAGUGGCAUUAAGAUGCUAAUAAUAACAUUAAUUUUCAACUUUUACUGCCUUGUUUGGAGUACAAGACAAAAGUCAUUGACAUAACCGGAGGAAUUAAAGGCUUAAGUGGCUAUUGAGAUGAGAUUUUGCUUUUGGAGUUUGGGGAGACAUUCCGAUUGGAAGGGGAGUUUUGGCUAUUUUAUUUGAAGGAAUUCUGGAUGACAAGAUGCAGGGAUUCCAUAGAGUGUAAUGCUCCUUGAGUUCCGGAUUCGUUAUCCUGUUUGUUUAUCAACUUUUGAUUUUUCAAUGUGCCUAUUAUAUUUCAGUGGUAAAAUUUGAUUUAUCCUGUGCAGUAUGUAUGAGCAUAACGGUGAGAAGGAAUAUAUGGCUGCUACACAAUUUCAACCGGUUGAUCCCAGGCGGUGCUUUCCGUGUUGGGAUGAACCUGCUUGGAAGGUCGCUCUCGAUUUUUCUCUCUGAUAGUUGAAUUAGUUGAAUAAAUCUUGAUAUAUGUUUGUAUCUAGUCAUUUUGUAAAAUCAAUAUGGAUACUUUCGCACUGCUUAACCGCAGCUUUGAGUCUCAGAAGAAAGAUAGGUUUUUAUGGGAUAAGAAAUCAUUCCUUAAGUUAUUGUUAGAUUGUUUUACUAGGAUUGUUUGAAUUGACCCCAUUUAUUCUUAUCGAUUGGAACUUUGAUUGGCAGGCUACAUUUAAGAUUAGACUGGAUGACGUUCCAUCUGAAUUAAUUGCACUGACCAACAUGCCCAUUAUUGAAGAAAAAGUGGAUGGACAUCUGAAGACUGUUUUGUAUGAAGAGUCACCUAUCAUGUCGACAUACUUGGUGGCCAUUGUUGUUGAGUUGUUUGAUUACAUUGAAGAUCAUACAUCUGAUGGUAAAACUCAUACACAACAUCUCUUGUUCUGUAUUUGUUAGUAACCGUUUCUUGACAGUGUCAUAUUCCAUCUCCUCACAGGAGUCAAAGUGCGGGUAUAUUGUCAAGUUGGUAAAGCAAACCAAGGGGCGUUUGCUCUGAACUUUGCUGUCAGCGCUCUUGAAUUUUACGGAGAGUAUGUUUAUGGAUCUCAAAAUAACUCAAUGAAUCCUUUCUCUGAUUUUUGUCCCCUUCCGUGCUUAUGUUCAAUUGUUUAUCAUUUGAUAUGAAAUCAAUGACAAAAAAGUUCUACAGUUACUUUGCUGUGCCAUACCCCUUGCCAAAAUUAGAUAUGGUUGCAAUCCCUGAUUUUUUUGGCGCCAUGGAGAACUAUGGUUUAGUUACAUACCACGAAACGGUUUUGCUCUUUGAUGAACAUAACUCUUCAGCUGCCAACAAGUAAAUGGUAACAUACACAUACUGAAUGUCAAUCUUGUUUUCAUAAUUUAGCUUCAUUCUAGCUAUUGUUUUUUAACCUUAAUCAUUUCAUUUUGUUUUUGUGGAAGGUUGCAACUGUCGUGGCACAUGAAUUGGCACACCAAUGGUUUGGCAAUCUUGUGAUGAUGGAAUGGUGGACGGAUUUAUGGCUAAACAAGGCAUUUGCAUCAUGGGUAUCACUUUCUUCAUUUGUUGUACUUGUUAUUUUAUAUGCUUUUAGACUUAAAAGUUCAUGUUUUGACGUCAUUAGGUGAGCUAUUUAGUUAUAGACAUCUUGUUCCCAGAGUGGAAAAUAUGGACUCAGUUUCUUCGCAUUGAAGUUAGUGGGGGUCUUAAGUUGGACGGGCUUGAACAAUCUCAUGCCAUUGAGGUACUUCAAAUUGGACUAGGUCUUCCACAGAUUUUUUAUUCUGUCUGAAGUUUUAUUUUUCGCGGCAUAGGACCUUGAUCACCUGCAUAACAGGCUUUAAAUAGAAAUAUGCACGUAUACUUUCACAUUUGUAGUAUUUCUUGUACACCUUAUUCCCUUUUUUUCGCUAGGUGGAUAUUAAUCGUGCUUCCGAGCUUCAUGAAAUAUUUGAUGCAAUAUGUUAUGAUAAAGGAACUUCUGUUGUUAGGAUGCUACAAACCUAUCUCAGUGCCAAAUGCUUCCCGGUUGGUCUUUUGGUUUGUUAGCAAUUGUCCUUGACGACUAAACCAACAAUCUUAUUUAUGAGAUUUUUUUACAUUUAUUCCAUGGAAAUUUCCGAAAAAUAAAGGCUUCAAGGCAUGCAGGAUUAAAAGAGGAUAUAUCCUGAAAAAUGAUUAUUCUUUGAGAUUUUUGUUCACUCGUCUUCUGGUUCGUAUUGGUUAUCAAAUACGUUUCUCAUGAAAGUUACAGAGUUAACCGCCUGCUAUUUUUUCAUGCGUCCAGAGGUCACUUGCUUCGUACAUAAAAAAGUAUGCUUCAUCAAAUGCAAAGACAGAAGAUUUAUAGGCUGCCCUUUAGGAGGGAUCGGGUGAACCAGUGAACAAGCUAAUGAAUUCAUGGACACAACAAAAGGGUUACCCUGUUAUAUCUGUCGAAGUCAAAGAUCAGAAAUUGGAAUUUGAUCAGGUUUUUCCAUAUGUUGCCUUCCUUGAAAAUCUUGUUUGACUAUCAGACGAAAUUCUAAACGAACAUCUCAGAGGUCUAAUGCACUUUUUUAAAGUUUUUAAAUCGUUCGUUUAGGUUUUAUUCCAUGGUACAAAGAUCUAAUAAGUUGAUUAAUAAAUGGCAGACACAAUUCUACUUGAGUGGUUCCCAAGGCAACGGGCAAUGGAUUGUGCCAAUAAUAUAUUAUGUUGUGGCUCCUAUGAUGCACGCAAGAGCUUCUUGCUACGAAAUAAGUCUGAAACUCUUGACGCAAAGGAAGUUUUGGGUUGCUCCAUUGCAAAGACAAGAUCGAGUUGGAUAAAAGUCAAUGUGUAUCAGACUGGUUUUUACAGGGUGAAAUAUGACGAGGAACUUUUAGCUGCUCUUGGAUAUGCUAUAGAAAAUAAACACUUGUCUGCAACUGACGGAUAUGGUAAUCACGUUUUUAUGCUCACACACUUGUUUAUCUCUUCGAUAGUGAAAUUGGAAGUAUUCAGUUCAGCUUUCAUCAUUUCUUUUCCUUCAACAGGAAUUUUGGAUGACUCGUUCGCCAUUUCUACGGUUUGCUUGCAGUCUUUUGCUUCAUUGCUUACCUUGUUGGGUGCUUACAGAGAGGAACUUGACUAUAUAGUGUUGUCAAAUUUGAUCACUGUAAUGAUCACCUCUGCAUUGUGUUAAUUUUCUGGACUUAUAGCCUUAGUGUAAUUCAUGUUUUCACCUUUCACAGAUAUCUUAUAAGCUGGCAAGAAUUGCAGCUGAUGCUGUACCGGAUCUACUGGAUCUUAUUAAUCAGUUCUUUCUUAGCCUUUUUUAGUACUCUGCAGAGUAAGCUUGUUCUCUUUUUUUUUUCCCUCAACUAGCCAAGUACCUAAAAGGUCAUACCCAGUGCACAAGGCUCCCGCUUUACGCAGGGUCUGGGAAAGGUGAAUGUCGGCUAGCCUUACCCCCAUUUUAUGGAGAGGCUGCUCCCAAGUACCUAGCUAGAUAAAAAUUCUUUACGCAGACAUUGGUUCUUUAAUGAAUAAAAAUGGGUGUCCAGUUGGUACUGCCUACAAUGAUAUCGUUACAUUAUUUCAUGGCAUAUCGACAAAUUGGUAUUCAUGCAUACUGUCUAGGUAAAUACGCUUGUGUGAUGAUAAGAGGGCUGGAGCAAAAUGUUUUAACACUCCCAAACUAUCCACAAUUUUGCUUCUUUCUUUUCGUUUAUUUAUAUAUUUAAAUUUGGUUUUGUUUCCAGGAAGCUUGGCUGGGAGCCUAAACCGGGUGAGAGCCAUUUAGAUGCAAAGUUCAGAGAAGAAGUUUUAAUUGCCCUUGCUGUGUUUGGACAUGGCCCGACAAUAAACGAAGCAAGUAGGCGUUUUCAUGAAUUCUUAGAUGACAGAAAUACGCCUCUUCUUCAUCCUGACAUAAGAAAGGUUUGUUUUGUUGUAAACCAUUAAUUAAACACCUUUUAAUUCUCUGUUGAUCAUCAUUAUUAGUAACUCUUAAUUCUUGCACUGCAGGCAGUGUAUGUGGCAGUAAUGCAAAGAAUGAACAUGUCUGACAGAUGGGGCUACGAAUAUCUUCUUAGAGUUUACAGAGAGACUGAUCUGAGCGAGGAGAAAUCUCGCAUUUUAAGUAAUACUACUGAUUAAUUUGUACAAUUAAGGAUGUUGAUCCAACAUCUGAGUUUGUUAUGUCGUUGGAAUAAUAAUGUAUCUGUUUGUGCCUGUAGGAUCACUAGCAUCUUGUCCAGAUCCGAACAUAACACUGGAAGUUCUCAACUUUUUGUUGACUUCUGAGGUAUUUCUGAUUUUGUCUCUCUUAAUUGCAGGUUUAAAUUGUAAUUAGGUACCACAACAUUAGAGUAUCUCAAACCAAUUGUGAUUGACGAUACUGGGUUUAAUCCCAUCGAUUGCCAUCGAUGUAUAUAGGUACGCCAUCAGGAUGCUUCCGCUGUGCUGUCCUCAGUUAGUAGGGAAGGACGGGUAACAGCUUGGACGUGGCUGAAGGUAACUCUCAAUACCACUAGUUUCUAAUGAGCAUGCAUACUAUGAAAUGUACGUACCCACAUUCUAUGAAAUGUACGUACCCACAUUCAUGGAUUUGGUUUCUUUCCUGGUCUUGUUAAUAUGGUUCAUUUUGCCUUCGGGGAUGAUAUCCGAAACACAGGAUAAUUGGGAGCACAUCUCAAAAUGUGUUCUGGAUUUCUAAUUAUUCAGAUUGUCAGUGAAAUUGUUUCACCGGUUCGUUCUCUCUCUCUCUCACUCUCUCUAAACUUUUAAUUGUUCUCGUAUCUGGGGCCUUGUAUCCUUGUGUAAUUACCUUCCUUGCUACGCAGCUAGCGUCAUUUGAGAAGGUUAAAGAUGUAGAUGAGUUCUUCAAAGUCCAUCGUAUCCCCUCGAUAACUAGAACCUUGAAGCAGAGCGUUGAGCGGGUGUGUUGAGGAAAACUGAGAGUACACUGAGGAUCUAACUCAGAAAUUUCACUGUAAAUAGACUUUACCUUGUGGAAAUAUUCGGCAAUCGUCAUGUCUUGUUGGGCCACUGAUAACAACUCGUUCUCAAGGAACUGGAGUCUUGUAUCGUUCCUCUUUGAAAAGAGUGUGGCGAAGGUAUCCCACGCUUUUUUCGGUGUCUUAGCCUUCCGUAUGUGCUCCAACAUGUCAUCCUCGACUACGGUUUUUAGGGCGAACAUGGCUUUUCCUGCCUUGAUCUUCCACUUUUGCAGAGCGCCGUUGGUGUCUUAUUCCGGCUGCGUAACUUCAUUACCGUCGACGACAUCCCAAAGAUCUUGGCCUUGUAGGUAAGACUCCAUACACGUCGCCCAUGUGUUGUAAUUGUUGUUGUUCAACUUUUUUUAUUCCUCCAACAACUUGAAGAUCUCCCAUCGUGUCGGCAGAACUUCGAUAAGCCGAACAAAACUAGUCAACAAUCUUGCGAAGUACUAAACUUCUCACGAUUCUAAAAUGCUUCACUAGAGACGGUCUCUAAUCGUACCGCUCUGAUACCAAUUAUUGAGGAAAACUCAGAAUACAUAACUCUAACACAAGUGUUGAAAAGACAACACAAGUAAACAAAUUACUUGUAUUAUACACACAAAAUAUUACAACACUCACAAAGACAACUUUAAAAGCAAUGACACUCACUUGUUUUUUAGAGACACACUUUAAAUCACUCACACUCCUACAAAACUAUUCUUACUUCUUCUUGAUUGGUUCUUUCUUGAUUGAUUGGUUACAUAGCACCACACCCAUAUUUAUAGGCAUGUUUGCCGACCUCACUAGCACUUUCUAGUGCAUAUUCAUGCACACACUGCACCGACAUACAAGCCCUUCUUAAUUGCCGACUUUAUUACUUGGCUAAGAAUGCCCAUCUAGAUUAUUCUUUAGUGUUUUAGAUUACUCUAGAAUUUGGUUUGUUAACCAACUUCUUAUUCUAGAGUUAUGUAGGAAUUUCUUCACAAAUAAACUAGGCUUAAUUAAAUAUGGGCCUUUUGGGCUGGUGUUGAUUCUUCAACAGGGUGCGAAUCAAUGCCAAGUGGGUUCAGAGUGUUAAGGGUGAGAAAGAUCUUGCCGAUGUUUUGAAGGAGUUGGCAUACAGGAAAUACUAGCUUUGAUAGAAAAAAUGGGUCUGGAUUUUCCUCGGUUAUUAUGCAAGUUACAUAUUUUCCAAAAGAAGAAUAAUGGGACAUGGAUAAAUAUAAAUGCACUGUCAAAUUAUAAUACUAUAUUUUCGAGACACAUAGUUUUUUAUCUAUUUCAUAGAGGGACAAAACUUAUCCAUAUGGCAGGUGAUGUCAUGGUUGCUUUUUUAAUUGUCGUAUUUGCAUUAUUAGAGUUACUAAACUAGACAGCUAUAUCGGCCAAUCGAUAUGCUGACCUCACUCGGAGUGCGUUGGUGUGAAAGUUGAGAAUGCAAACCCUACGUGCUAUAACCGAGAGAACUAAAAAAUCGAAUGAAACAAGUGACUUGCAUGUGAAGAAAGUGACAUAUUAGGGUUUAGGUGUCGAAGGGGAUGCAUGCUUAUGAAAGGGACUGCAAGUUUUGCACAUAAUUAAUCCCAAAAAUUGGUGCGUUAGUUCAAAUUACGGUUAAACUUUCCACGUCCGAAGAAAUAUUUAAGCAGUGUCGACAGAGGUGAAAAAAGGAGUGCCUGGAGUGAAGAUGAGUAUCAUUUCCUUUGUCGUCGUCUUUGAGGAAUUCAGGUGGGCAGGGGAGAGAUCCGUCAACACAAGCAAUCAAACGGUGGCUCUUCAAAACUAGAACGAUCUCAGGAAGCAGAAAGGAAGACGGUCAGCAGCAGGAGGAUUGGUAGAAAUGGUUGACGCGGUGGGACACGCUUGCAAGGGUAAGCAGGAUCGGAAAAAAAGACGGUGUGAAAGAGGCGUAGGCAGAGAAGACGACUGAAGUGAACGGCCUCGAUAACUCAUCAGAGGCAUAAGGUGUGUAUUAUAUUAUCAUGCUGUACAAUGAAUACAUUUGAUACAUGUGAUAUAUUGAGUUGAUGAGAUACAUUUGUACAAUCGAAGACUAAAAACAUCUGAUACAAUGAAUGAUGAUUCUAUCGUUUUAACACCUGGCAGGUGACGAAAGAAUUGUUUGUCAUAAGCUCGACUACAAGUACGCUGUCUCUGGAAAGUGAUGACAACAUGAACAAUAAAGCUAGCAGUUUUCAAUGUGCAGAGACAUCGAAAUGGAACCCAAAGCACGCUGUCUUCAGAUUUCUCAAAGUUCAGCCACGAACCAUUGCCAUCUGCCAUUUUCUUUUCGAGGACACUAUUGGUCUGGUUCAAGAAAUCAGGAGCUUACUAUCCUUGAACCCGUCAGUUCUACCUGGUCACUUAGCAUAGUGUUUCUAUUCCAGGUGGUUCUUCUGUGCUCACUACAUUCAGCAACAGAUGACAUUCUCAGAACUGAACAUUUUGGACAGCCCCAACCUUGAUCACUACGUUAUGAAAACCAGUGCAUUAUCACAUAGUGCAUCAUAAAACUUUGCAUACAAAAGCUUGAAGCAUAGCCGCCCGUAGACCACUUUUGGAUGCUAUUUUUCCUUGGAACAUACUGAGAGAGGAUCUCACAAGUUCAUAAACCUGAGCGACCGCUCUGCAAAUUUUCUUCAAGAACUUCUAGAUGAUGUGAGCCGAUGGCGGACAUAAUUGCAAAAUUGAACUUUGACUGACAUGCUCAUAAGUCACAGUGCAGUCCAGCAUCUUUCCAAGGAAAGCAUCGGUUAGCCAGAAUACAUAGUGAAUUUCCCUGUGUAUUAUAUAUAUCAUCAGAACAUGUAAAAAAAAAAUAAGAGCUGCAAAAUGACUAGAAAACAUGCCGUAGAACAUUUCUUUUGACAACAAGAAGUACAUAGAUUGGUAGUAAGGCCAUCACUCACAGCCAUCCAAUGCAAGAAAGUUUUGCUUUUUCAGAUCAACAGCAAGAACACACCUUGGUAAAUCUAUGAUUCAGGCACAACAGCUUUACCUUUAUAUUAGUCGCCCUGAAAAGGUUGCAAGGAACCCCACGAUCUUCCAACUUUCAGUUUGACAUGCAACGGAACUGGACAACGAGUACUUAAAUUAGGUACAGCAAACAAAUGUCCUCAAAUUAUCGAGCAUUAAGCAAUGUUCCAGAAACUUUAGAAAUAUACCACGAAGCGAAAUAGCAUUUUCCAUGCUCCUCUGUAGCAGCAAAGCAGCCUCCUUUAUCACAACAGGAUCAACUUCCAGUACUAAUUCAUCAUGCACCUGGUUAGAAACAACCAACAAACAUUGUUACAUGAGUUGCCUUGUAAAUGAAGCAAAAUUAUAUUUAAUUAACAAAGCUAACAAGAUGCUAAAUAUUUUAGUUUCUUAAUAUCUUCCUCUACAUUUCGAAUUGACCAAAGAACAUAAAAUUAUAGAAUUGUAAACAGAAUUUCCAAAACCAACCUGUAAUAAAAUUCGGCAGCGGCCCUUCAGUACGUGUAACUUUGUUGCAGGGUGAGAAGAAGAAUCAGGCCUUUCAACACCUUCAACUAUCACGGAAUAUAUAUAUUUAUCACUGCAAUCUUAAUUAUGUCAGCAGCAGAUCCCUGUAAAAGGAAGACAUCAGAGAAAAAUACUACACUUCAGUGAUUACCUUUAAACACCCACACUCCUCAUCCCCACAGAAGGGAGGGAAAAAGUCAUACCUGACUGACAUAUAGAAUUCACAGCUUCUCUGAGCCUUUGACUUUUCUUUACUAUUCCCAAGUUUUAUUUUUGACAAAAAGCGCUUUCUUCCCUUAGGGUUUUGAUAAGUAUUUAUCAAAUAUAGCCAAAAAUGAAUCCUUAAUUUCAAAAAUGUCAUUUUUUAUAAAAAAAUUUCAAAUGUAUCCAAAAUUCCACUUAAAUAGACGCAAAUACCCUCAAAUUUAACAAUCAAAUAAAUUAAAGGUUUUUUAGCCAAAAUGAUUCGUGACAUUGACAUAACUCAUUAAUAUGGUCCUUAACAAUUAAUGAUAAUCAAUAGUAGUGUUCUUGAAUUUGUUAUCAGUAAUCAUUUUAGUCUUUCUUUGAAUUUAUCCAUUGUGAUCAUUUUAGUUUUUUCGUGAAAAAUCUAUCAAUUACUCUGUUAGCGUGAUGAUGUGGCACCAUGUGGGUUUCACAAAUACAAUCAUAUAACGACAUGUGGAUUAACUUUAAAAACUAUUUUUUUAUAUUUAAAACUAAAAAUGAUAUUAGUAAGAAAAAAGACGUUGACGGCAUGAUUGAAAUUCUACUACUCGCACUUGCGGUAACCGCAGUGGGGCUCAAUGUCAGUGAUGAGGGGUCGAAGGGGAUAGGGUUGUGGUGGAGUGUAGAAGCGAAGGUGAAAUUGGACCGAAGCUUGAGGCAACAGUAGCUAAAACGCCUUUAAUUUAUUUAAUUGUUAAAUUUGAGGGUAUUUGUGUCUAUUUAAAUGAAAUUUUGGAUAUAUUUGAAAGUUUUUAUAAAAAGUGACAUUUUUGAAAUUAAGAGUUAAUUUUUGGCUAUAUUUGAUAAAUAAUGCACAUAAUGAACAGUUGAAUAGCUUCAAAGAAAUGUUUACAGCAUUGUAUUACAAGGGAACUAACAGACUCUUCUGGAAUCCCAGUCCAUCUAGCCGCUAUCAUGGUGAAGACAUCACCAUGGGAUUACUAAGGAGUUCAAUGAGUGCAGAGUCUUUAGAGAAUGUGCCAUCAGCCGCAAUUCUAUCUGAGAAUAAUCUGCAGUUACAACAAUAAAACAAUUAACGUACACCAUAGAGUCAUAAAUCCCAUCCCCUUCUCCUAGUUAAUAUCCCACAAAAAAUUUCCUAGUCUGAAUAUAUGACAAUUCUGUACCAACCCUCCCCCACAUCCUCAUCUACUCGAGAAUUUUGUUGACUUUUAUGGUAUAAAUAUAAUAAUUGUUAAAGUUCUUUGAAUUAGCUGGGUUUCUAUGCAAGUAAGAAAUCUGAGAGAAUAGAGAAAGAUGCAAUAUGAAGAAAUGCUCUGCUCACUCUCAAAGUCUGAGAGGUGAUAUUUUCAUAUAUAUCUCACAGAACACACGCACUAAGGCAUAAGUACAUAACUGCUAGCCUUAGCUGGAUACACACAACCAACAAUACAAUCUCAGCCUUACACUUGUCAUAAUCUAAGACUAAGUGAAUAUACAAUUCAAAACAAGGCUUAUUUACUUUAACUUUACUUAGCUCACAGCUUAUACACUAAUAAUAAUAACACACAAAUGGCCUUCAAAUACAAGAGCAAGCUGAUCGUUACCUGAGUAGGAAUGAAGUAAUCGCGAGCAUUGAUGUUCAAUUGAUCAACAUCAGUUUCGUUUCCAUUUCCAUCCUUAUAUAUUUUAAAGUCAACCAUAUGUUCAACACACUGCAUAAAUCAAAAAGAACAAAAUGUGAUAAGAUAGUAAUGAUUAAAUUUUGUUAACGACUGAAGGAGAGGGAAGAGAGAAUAAAACGACGCAUGGGAAACCCAAACCUGGCGAUUUGGUUCCUCCAUUAAAGGCGACCAGUUGCUGUUGAUGUUUGGAGCCAAUGACCAUGUAAUGUGUACUAAUUCUGUGUCCUCACAGAGCCUACCCAGUGAACAAAUUGAUACCAAUGUACAGUUUAAAAGUUUUGCCAACGUACGAUGCUCCUUAAUGACGGGAAUUAUGGGAUGCUCAUCCCUGAAAUGAAAUCGAUUAUAGGAUGCUCAUCCAUCAAAACAAUGAGAGGCUGAUGCCACAAAAUCAAGAGAUUCAAAUGUGCAAGCAAGAAUACUUUAAUACCAUCUCCUUCAAGUGUUCAAUAUUCAAACAAAACAAUCUAAAUGGGAUGGAAGCCUCUAUGGAAUCAAAUAACUAAAUGGUAAUCCUAUUCGCUUGAGUAUUUAUAUUUCAACAGCUUAUUCACACCUGAGAGGGGGUAAGGUUACGAAGUACGAUAGAAGAAUAGAAGUCUCGCUAAUACCUUAAUAAAUCCAAGCAGUGCUUGUCCGUACUUGGGUGUUGUUUCCCCUUGUUGCGGCCCUCUGGUAUGGGCAGCUUUUAAGUGUGUUGUGAUUGACUCAUAUUUUGAGCUGACAACAAUGAAGUGACCUGUGUUUUUUUGGUGGAAAUAUCACAUGAUGUGGGCUGCAUGAAAGUUGCAGACAAGUGCUGCAAAGUAAAAGCAAAAGUGGACAACAAGCCAAAUGUUUUUCGGCUAAUAAACUAAACAAAGAAAAGUUGUGUUGUGAUUGACUCAUAUUUUGAGCUGUCAACAAUGAAGUGACCUGUGUUUUUUGGUGGAAAUAUCACAUGAUGUGGGCUGCAUGAAAGUUGCAGACAAGUGCUGCAAAGUAAAAGCAAAAGUGGACAACAAGCCAAAUGUUUUUCGGCUAAUAAACUAAACAAAGAAAAGUUUGGUGCACAUCAUCAUGAGUAAAGACACAAUGAUAAUGCUUGUAAGAAAAUAGAAAAAAGUGGUUGCUUUUAGUUUAAUGAUUAUGAAGAAAUGUGAUGAUGGAUUGGCCUUUAUUUAAUGCAAGGAAAUGCUUGCUUUAUGUGUGCUUGCCGAGAGAGAAGGUUUGCAUCAGAAAAGCAUCCAAGGUGGAGAAAGCAUUUGGUUCUCCCAUGGGAAAGGUUAAACAUGGGUUGAGAGAAAAUCAAGAGAGCUAGAGUGAAAAGUAUUAUAGUGAAAGAACUCUUGGGUAGAGUGAGGCUCUUGGGAAAAUGCUAUGAGUGGGUGUGCAAGGGAUUUGGGAUUGAGUUAUGUUGAUUUAACUCAUGUGUACUUGUACUGUUAUUCAUAGUGAAGAGCAAUAUCUCUUCGGGGACGUAAGCAUGUUUUUGCCGAACCUCGUAAAUUUUUAGGUGUCUUUAUUUCUUGUAUUUUAUUUUGUUCAACUGAGUGUGAUUUGGUGAGGUUGUAAUCUGAAUCUCGUUUCCGCACUAACGAACACGCCAAGGCACAACAAAGUGUCCAUACAUAGAUUAGCAAAUCUGGUGCCGUAGAUAACGAAAAUUUCAUGCCAGCCAACUUAUAGGCUUCCUUCUCAAGCUGCCCUAGCUUUUUUCCUAACACCUUGCGUGCUUGUAAGCAUCCCUCCAUGUCAAGACCCACUCCCCAGAGCUCCAUGUCGGCAAGAAUAUUAACCUAGCAUACAAAUAAGCAAUAAGCUAUUGUCGAAGUGGUUGGGUUGGGUACUGGUUCUCAAGCACCCAACUAAACAGUGGUCAUGCAUUUAAAUCCAAAACAAACAAUAGCAAUAAUGUAAACCUCAAAUAAAAUGAAGCUCCCUCAAAAAAAUUAAGUCAGAUGCUAUGAAAGUAACUUACCAAUGGGAAUUCAAAAUCUAGGAGGGCUUCAGUGAGGUCUUCAGCAACAAUUAACUUCCAAAGAACAGAACAUAAGGCUCAUAUUUUUGCAGCCCGAUGGUAGCAACCGUUAUGUGCAGCUCUUCGCAUCUGAUUCUUCCACCUGCCAUUCCGAUUAGCAGCUGAUGCAGCUUCACUAGAUAACCUUUUCUUAACUUCCUAUAAAUCGUUCUAAAAUCUUCAAAUGCAAAUUCAGUAACGAUGAACAUGUAAAUAUUGAAUGAAAGAAUUAUAGUUAAACACUUCUGCCUUUAAGAAAUGCUUUGAUUGAAAUGAUGAAGUUUCUUUUUUGGGAGUUUUAACAAAAUACUCCUGGUACUGUUCACUUUUAAUGAAAAACCAUAUUUAUACAUUUCCCUGGUAUUAUUCACUAUAUCUUUAAAAAGAAUUUUCAUUAAAAAAGAAGUUUUUUUGGAUUUUUCGUUAAUUUUCCUUUAUAUGAACCGGAGGCAACAGGAGAGUUUUCCCAACAGAUGGCUAUGCCAUGUAUUUCAAAGGGCGCAACAGAAUUCAAUUCCGAUCGUUUGUUGUAGUGAAUAUCAAAAUAGAACUCUCAGAUGGAUCCCCAGAGAUCCAAGAAGGAAUCAAAACCGCCAAGAGUUUUAACUCCAUGAAUAGGGCCUUUCCCACAAGCAUUGCUUUUAUAGCUAGAGGACAAAUUCUCCCUUUUGUAGCGUUUCUGUUUUUCAAGAGCAAGAGAGUCAUCAGAUGCCCUAGUUCUAUCAAUUAAGCUUUAUAACUCAACCCGGUCAGUCAAAUCAGUACUUUUCGUUUAAUCCAUCGCAGCAGUAAGAUAAUCCAGCCCUCGAAGAUGUACUUUAGAAUUGUCAGCACUAGACUUAAUUUGCAUGACACCAGUUCACUUUACUUCUGCAGCCUUUUCAGAAUGAACCCUACCUUCCAAAGAUGCUUUAGCAGCGUACUCUGUGCUGCGCUCUACAUUAGGGAAGCUACUAGUGGAGUUAUCACCAGAGGAAUUUCCUUCUCCUUGCAUACUGGGACUUCCACCACCAGUUAAAAAUACCGGUCCAGAAAACCGUGGGACAUACAUGUUGGUGGAUAGUCGCCAAAUUAGUGGCCAACUUGGCAUUCACUUUCGGCUAGAAAAUUAAACAAAGAAAAGUUUGGUGGACAUCAUCAUGAGUAAAGACACAAUGAUUAUAUUUGUUGAAAAAAAAAAGGAAGGUCACGAUGAUGUUUGUAAAGGAAUGAUUAUUCCUUUACUUUGGAUUUUUUUUAUUAAAUGCUUUUGUAUGGAUAAAGGUUUUCAGCCGAAUGAGGGAGGGAAGGGGGGAGCGGCAGAUGAGAGAAACCAGGGAGAGCAUUCGGCUCUCCCAUUUGAAUAUGAGCUGCUCCUUCCCACCAUUUGUAAUAAUCUCAUUUUGUUAGUAAUCACUCAAUCAAAGAUGUUGGUGCUACUUGUUGUGUUUGGUUCAUACAUUUGUGAGUAAUUAUGAGUCAUGUGUUAACAACAAUGAAGUGACUUGUGUUUGCUUUCGGUGGAAAUAUCACAUGGUGUGGGUUGCAUGAAAGUUGCGUGCUGCAAAGUAAAAGUAAAAGUUUGGUGGACAUCAUCAUGAGUAAAGACAUAAUGAUAUGCUUGCUUUUGCUUUAAUGAUGAUGUUUGUUUUUUGCUUUAAUGAUGAUGCAAGACACAAUGAUGAUGACUAUGAUGGCUAUGAUGCAAGAACUAUUUUGUGCGCACCAUUCUUGAUCUUCUUUGCUACGCCUACUUGGAUGCGCCUUUGAGCUGAACCUUCUGCAGUCAUAGUAUCAUCUUACCAAUAUUAGGAAAGAAUGCAGGAAAAAUACGCAAUAAAAUCAAAAUAACUUUAAGAAAUAGUAAAAUAAGUUAUAAAAGAAAAGUGGGCAAAAACUCAUCUUCAUAAAAUAAAGUACAUAAACUAUAGAGCUAGAACCAUCCAUAUGAACAAAUAUUAUCACAAUCCCGCUGGCAAACAAGCAUAUGAAACAAAUGCAUCUGAGCAAACUUACAUGCAUUUAGAAAGCUAAUUGUUGUACAAUACUUGACUGGAAAGAGUACCGUUGUGCAUUUCAUUGAAAGACCAGAAAGAGAUUCGCGUUCAGAAAAAGGUCUUGGAAUUAGUUAUCACACACUAAAAUUUUCCUUCUUAGGCAGAAUUCUUUUCUGUAGUUACUGGUUUGUAAUGUUACAUAAACUCAAUUCCUUUUUUAAAGGUCAAAGAGAAUGCAUGGAGUAAGCUAAGAAACACACUUCGGGUUUUCAGAAUGUCUCCAAAGCAAAGAAAUGCUAAGAACUAAGCUAAGAAACAAUUAUUUCUUAAUAGUCCUGGUAACCAUCACAAAUCAAACAUAGUUUAGAAGAACAUGAUCUUAUCAGGACAUCAGAUGAUAUUAAGAUAUCAUUUACCAGGAACUUAUCACAGGAAACUGAGAAGCCGUGUACUAAAAUUAGAAUCUUAUAUGCAUCACCUUGUUCGUUCCAUGAUGAAAAUUCAAAAAGAGCUUUGACUAUUUCAGGGAUGGACGCUUCAGCAAUUGCUAAAGGAGUACGCAAGCCAGCUUUAUAGAGUGCCCUCGCUCGAGAACCCUACAGAUCAGCACAUACCAUUUACAAAUAAAUAAAUAAACAUUACUGUUGAGCAUAUGUCAGGUAUCAAAAGGAGGUUACGAAUGUGACUGUAGUUCACAUACCUUGAUAUAUGGAAUUGUAGUAAGCUCUACAAUCUCUGCUCUCACUCCAAAUGAAACACGAUUUUGAAACUUGCAAACCAAGCCCUCUAAAUCAUGCCAUCCACGCCUCUCACAAACACAUGGUUAACCAUCGAUGCAAACCUUUCUCUUGUAAGGCCUGCACCAUACCUCUAGCCAUUUUGAAAGCUUCACGUACUCAGUGAUAGCAGCUUCCUUCACCACAUAUUGAAGAGUUCACAUUUAGCAAGGCAGAAGUCAACAAAUCUCACAAUAUCCCAUAAAUAAAUAAAUCUAAACUGAUAGAUACUUUUUUUUUUUUUUAGAAACUUCGACGGUACAAGGUAAUUUUAUUGAUAACAAAAAAAUAAGUUACACCUAGUUUGUGGAGACAUAAACCUUACCCCUAAAAAACAGAGACAACAAAAAGGAAUACACAAAAAAAAAGAGGGAACCUAAACCUUACCCUUCUAGAAACAAAAAACGAGAAUGAUACAAAGAAAAAGGAGGGGGGACAUAAACCUUAUCAUUCUAAAAAAAAAAAACAAGAAUGAUACAAAGGAAAAGGGGGGACAUGAAACCUAACCCCUCUAGAAUCAAACCUAAAGGUCUAAACUUGCAAAAUAAGUCAAAUGACAUCAUAAAGUUAGGAGAAAACAAGAAAGUGAGACAAAUCUGGAUGCCGACAUGCACAUUAAUUUGAGAAGUGGUAAUCAGACAAGUCAACAUAGUCUGAAAACAUAGUAGCACGAACAACUAUCGAAGGAGAAUCAUGCCAUGUAAAACUGAUGGAUACUCGAAAAAGAAAAAGAGCAAAAAUUUAAAUUACAAGACGAAAGGAACAAAAUGUAUGUCACCUCCCAUGUGCGUGUGUAUAGAUGGUUGAUUUCGUCAUAUCGAGUUCAUUGAAGAGGUGAAGUCAAAGUUGAUUUGAUGCUUCAAUUAUAUUGUUUUCAUUUCGAUUCAGGUGAAUAAGUAGAAAGUUUAUAUAAAAAUAAUAUUAUUUACUCUAAUUCUAUAAAGUUUAGUAAGCAGUUCUAAUGUGAAAAUCCAAUUAUGAUUUUUCUACUUUCUUUUCUUUCAUUUUACUUACAAAUUAGUAAACGAGCUAUAAUAAGAAUAUCACCAAGAGAGACUUUAUCCUCUAUAAAGAUACUAUAUUUUAAGCCUUAAUGAGAAAUGAGGAGAAAAAAUGUGUGUGAUUAAUAUUUAUCGUUUAACAUGUUGAAAUUAAGUAUGCCACAUAUAAACAACCGAGCUUUAUCGUCCUUACUUGAACAACUAAACAGUAUUCCACGAUUUCUUUCGCUCAAAGUAAAGCAUAUAUGCCCCUAAUAGAAUCCACAUUUUUGUAUUCUUAAUUAAAUUUUAAUAAGAACAUUUAAUACUACGAUCUAAUGUUAUUAUUCUUCACUUGUAAGUGAGAGUUUAUAUUCGAUUUUCACUAAAGACAAUUUUGAACCACAUUACAGCUAACCCAUUAUGAGGCUAAGCGUAUCCUCUCUCAUUUAUUUAACAAAAAAAAUUAUAUAACAAAGUUAGAAAUCAAAAUGAUUUUUUUUCUCUUAUAUUCAUUUUUAGUAAUUACAUAUGCCUUAAAAAUAAACUAAUUGACACAAAAAAAAAAACACAAUAACUGAUCAAAUCAAACAUUUCUAUAUAUAAGUGUAUUCUUCUCCAAAAAAUACAAAAGAAUGAUAGAGACAUCAAAAAACAAAUGUUUUUAUAUUAUAUAGCAUUUAAAAACAUAUGUUAGAUUAGAGGGAAUAUAGAAUAUAGAAUAUAUAGCCUCUCGCUCAAAAAAUAAAAGUAAAAUGUAAAAAAGAAAAAAGAAUUACAGAGAGACAAGUACAGUCGAGAAAUUCUAUAAAUUGGAGCGAGGAGAGUAGAGGAAGAGUCCCGCGCGGCAUCUCAGCGAGCGAUCGAUUUAGGGGUUUUCAUCAGAAACCAGAACAAGUUUACAAACAAAGCGAAUCGGCUUACAAGUUCACAAACAAAGCGAAUCGGCUUAGGGUUCGCACUCUUCCUGUUCUCUGGAGAACCAGCAUUGCAUCGAUUACUGUCUUCGGCUCUGCAGAGAGCCGCUGUAAGGUUCGAUUUUGCCCCUCUCAUUGUUUUAAUUCGUUAAAUUUUCACUCGCGAAUUGUUUCUUUGAUUGGUGGUUGUAUCUGGGUUUUAUUCGUUUGAUUUAAUUGUCAGAUUUUUUGGGUUGGUUGAAAAGUUUUGGAAUUUCAUGCAUUUGGGGAUUGUUCUAUGUGUAAUUAUCUGUGGUUUUCAUCAUUUAAUUAGUUUUUUUCCCCCUUCGGAGGUCUUCGGGAUGUAAUUUUGAUUGCUUAAAUCGGAGGCACAAGAUAGUGCAGUGUUAGUGUUCCAGGAUAUUGGGAGUCUGGGAUUCUAGGGUUUGUUUUUGUAUCAAUUGAAAGAUGUUUUAUUAAUUAAAAAAAAAGAUGUUUUAUUAAUUUAUGGAGAGAAGGUCUUGAUUUGUUAUCGAACAGUUAUUUAAGUCUUAAGAUAAGACAAAUUUAGUACUGUCCUGAAUCAGUUUCACUUCGCUUGAAUGUAUUCCUCUUUAUUCCUUUGAACUGCAGUAGUGUUUUCUGCUUAAGAUAAACCGGGAUUGGUAACCGUAGUGGAAAAAAAAAAAGAUUUUUUGGGUGUAAAUUGUUCUCGGGAAUCAUUAUCUUCUUACAUUAUUGACUGGCAAUUGUUCUAUCAAAAUAUUGGUAAUAGGUUUUUCCUACUUUUUCAGGUUAACUGUGAGUCUGCUUUUGAAGAGGCCUGGUGGGGGAAUAUGGAACAAGAUACACGGACUGAAAAGCUUGAAUUUACAUGGGGAAAGAAGAAAGGAAAGGGAGGGAAAAAUAAGGACGUUCAGUUAUGAAUCUUUUACUUUUGAUGGUGAAGAGUACACGCUGUAUGAUUGCGUUUAUCUUUACAAGGAAGAUGAACCUGAGCCUGAGAUUGGAAAGCUAAUAAAAAUAUGGGAAACUGGUGAGAAGACAAGGAAAGUUAAAGUUCUAUGGUUUUUUCGUCCUUGUGAGAUUUCAAAUUUUCUUGGAUGUGAAGAGGUACUUGAGAAUGAGUUGUUCUUGGCAUCCGGUGAUGGUGUGGGCCUUGCGAAUCUUAAUCCAUUGGUACUUACAUUUUGAUUUAUGCUCUUAACUAAUUUUAUCAUUUGUAUUUGUUAGAAAUGGAAUGAUUAAUUGAUCACGUAAAGGUGUGGUAUAUAGUUUGUUAGCCUAAAUGAAUAUAGUCUUUCUGAUUUUCAAUCAAUAAUGAUGCAGGAACUUUCCAUACUAUAUAUCUUUGCAAUGCUAUUGUUUCUUUUCUUCGUUCUGCUGCCAAGUUUGUCUUCAAUUUUUCACUUCAUUUUUCACCGAGUUGACUAAACCGUGCAGUUUCUUUUAUAGAUUGGUUGACGUGUUUGAAUAUAAUUUACAACAAAUUCUACUUCUCUGAUAUAGUAGGACCGUGAAACAUUGUUAAGCUUCUUAGUGUUCUAUUUUUUAUAUUUCUUAAAAGACUCUAAUUGGCAAUCCUUACAACUUUGAUUUCCAGCAAUACAAUAAGAUUUGCAUUCCCCUUGUGAUGACAUAAAUUGUGUCAGAUUACAUGUUGCCCCUCUCUCUCUCCCAGAUUACAUGUUGCCCCUCUCUCUCACACACACACAAUUACAAAUACAUGCUAAGGCUGAACUUGGGUUUUGAACUUUUGGUAGUAUUUGAUAGAUGUUAUAUCCCUAAUAGACAUGGUAAUAUUACAAGUGAGAAAUGGUUUCAAUUGGUAACUACAACAACAACAACAACAAAGCCUUUUCCCACUAAGUGGUUUCAAUUGGUAACUGAUUGUAAAUAUUCUUGCGCUAAAUGAAACUAAGCACUUAGAAAAAUAUAUUAUGUGCAUGUCUUGGUUAGUAGGAAUUGUAUUUAGACUUUAUAAUAUGAUAGCAUUGUAGCACAAUCUUAACAAGUUAAGAUGUGGACCAACGGUUAUGUUAUGUUCUAACACUGCCCCCCAAUCUUGGGACUCUCUUUAUCACAAGAGUUCAUUUGUGGAUUUCAAGCUUUGUUGGAAGGUACAAUUGCAGAGACUUCAACAUUGAAUUCUCAUGCUUUGAUACCAUAAUAAAAUUUUAUGUUGUUAAGAUAUAAAUCGACAAUUAUUUCAUAUUCUACUAUUAAAGAUCAAUGGUCUAGUUGCUGAAGUUUUAUAAUCAAAUCAGGAAGCCAUUGCUGGAAAAUGCAAUGUUCUUUGCAUUUCAAAAGACAAGGAAAAUCCUCAACCAUCAGAUGAAGAGCUUCAAAUGGCCGAAUUUGUGUUUCGUCGAACCUUUGAUGUUGGGCUGCAAAAAAUCACUGACAAGAUAGAGGGAGCAAUUGCUGGGAUUGAUGGUAUGUAUAUCUAUCAACUCGGACCCUUGUAGUUUGACUUAUAGUUGCAUGUUUAUUUUCAUAUUUUGAGUCUUAUAUCUUUGUUUAUGUAAUUGUUGCAGUUAAAUUCAUGUUUAACAGAAGGGAUAUUCAGAAGCCUGGUGGCGUUCUGAAAGUUGAUUUAGGAAAAAAUGAAGUUUGUGGGAAUUCCAUAGCAAGUAAUGAAACAGUGGUUCUAUCAAACAAAAAUUCAUUUAAAGAAAAUAUCACUUUAGAGACAAAUGGAAAUAUUGUUGAUUCGUCAACACUAGAAAAGGGUGAUUUGGUUAAGCAUAAACCAUCACUUGUAGAAAAACCUGCUUAUGGUGUAGGUUUAAAUUCAAAUGAAAAGGAUAAAAUGAAUGAAAAACAGGAACAUGUGUCAAAUCCCAAGGUCUUGUUGAGUUCUGAAGUUAAAAGUGAUGAAGGUGAGGUUAAGUGUGGUAAAGUUCAUGCACAACAAGUUGAAGUGGAAGAAAAAGUGAUGUUCACUAAGGAUAACGUUGAUUCGGAUAAUAGGCCAACCAAGAAGGCGAAGCUUGAUAAUGGUAAAGGUAGUGAGCAAAUACUUGCGAAGGUAGAAAGAAAGAAAAAAUGUACCAAUGUUUGUGAUUCGAAGGCGAAGAAUGACACUUCAAUUGAAGUGGUCAAUGACAAAAAGAAUAGUAGUGACCUGAGUUGUAUGAAUGUUACAAAGGUUGUAUCCCCAAAUGUUCCUGUUGAAGUGGAUCAUGGACAAUCUAAAAAGCCGAAGCUUGAAUCUUCGAUUGAAGUGCCCAAUGACAAAAGCAAAAGUAGUGACCUAAAGCAUGUGAAUGCUACAAAAGUUUUAUCAUCGUCUACCUCUGCUCUUGAUGAUAAAUCCAAACUUAAGCGUGCAAAGGAUUCUCUUGGAACAAACAAUGCCCUUCUCAAGAAGAUGAAGCUUGAUGACAAGGCAAUGACCAUUUCCGAAGGCAACAAUGGUAAGUUGCCUAAAGCAUCUCAACGUAAAGUCAAACAUGUAGAGGAUUCUCGUGGAGCAAAUGAAGAGUCUUGCAAGAAGAUAAAGCUCGAUGAGAAAGCCAUGGCACCUUGUGAUGGCAAGUUGCCUAAAGUACCUCCUACACAAUCUCAAAGUAUGGCCGAAAAGGUUGAUGGCCAAGAAGUUACUCGACGUCCCGAUGUUGUAAGUAAUGCCAUUCUUUCCUCUUUUCAUUCUAGUCCAAAUGAUUCCCUUAUUGAGAGUGUGAGUUGUCGUUAUUCCCCACAUUAAGUCGAAUAUUGGUGUCAUUUCUAGCAUGUUUUUUUCUUUGGGUCUUACAAAUACCAUGCAUUGUUUUAUAUGGUGGAGUGUCCAUAUAUCCUAUCUCUCAUGGUUGAGGGUUUUUCCAAUGCAAAACUUUGGCGACUCCCUAGGUUGUCAUAAUUGGAACUACUUUUAGCGUUGAUUUUGGAACGUUAAAUACUUUGGAGAAGGUUGAUAGUUAUGUUUUCGCAAUUGCAUAUCCUUGGAGAUGCUCUAAUUAUGUAGAGGUAGGAUGUUGGAGUUAAGGCUUUUGUAGUUAAGGCACAAAUUGGCACUUGAUUGUAGCAUUCGAUAAUUGAGUUCUACUCAAAGAAUUGGCACUCAUUCAUUGUACACCUGUGGCGAGUUGACUCUCGUUUGUACUUAAUUGUGGUGUGGACAUUGUGUGUCAUGUGCUACACAAGAAUUGCUUCAUGGCUUGCCAAAAUUGGUUUUUUUUCUAAAUGAAUAAUGUCAAGGCUAUCACAAACUACCAAAGUUUUCAAGGAAUAUUCAAAUCAUCAACCAAACUUCAAAUUUGCAGUGCUUCUUUCAUGACUUGACAAUGUUUCUUCAUCAAAUUGUCCAUUCGCGUCAAUUGUUUUUCAUGUUCUUGCCAUGCAGAAUUAUGGUAAAUUUUGAAACUUAUGGAGUUCAAAUAUAUAAAGUUGAACCAUUCCCAAAUGUUGUGUGCGAGUUCAUGUCAUGAAUUAUUUCGCUAGUAGUUAUAGUAAUGGCAACAAUGUUCCACUAUUUUAUUUGUAGUUAAGGUAUCUCCCUUGUUCUCAUCGUUGCUAAAUUUGAUUAGUGUCCACGUGGUGAAACCCUUAUUGGGUUGAAAGUAGUUUUUACUUGUUUCCUUCUUCAUUGUGCUCCUUUCAUUUAGAACACUAAGAGUGCGUUUGUUGCAUCGACUAAAUCGGACUAGACUAGCUUCAUGGAUUUAGCCGGACUGACUUAGAAUAGACUAAGCUGGACUGACUUAGUUAAGUGUUGGGUGCAGGAUAAUUAUACAAACUCUAAUAUUAUAUUAUUUAAUCCAUAUCUAUUAGUAUUUUGAUAUUAAUUCUAUCUUUUUCUUUUUUAUAGAAACCUCUUCCUCUCUCUUUAAACCUUUCCCUCUUUUUCUUUGUGCCAUUCUCUCUCUCCCUUCUUCCUCCUUUUCUCCCUCCAACUCAAGAAGUUGGAGAGCUCUAGAAGGCACGACAAAUCAAAUCCCUCCAAUCCCAUUUGAAACUCGAAUCGAAUCCCUCUGGAAGUUGGAAGAUCAAGAUGAAAAACCCAGAAGUCAAGACGAAAGCUAAGCUCGAUCAUUUACUUGUUGGAUCCCAUUUGAAACCCAGAUCCAAUCCCUCAAAAUCAUGGCCUCCUCCUACCCGAGCACCACCGCACCCUUUUCUUAGGCAACUCCCACAACCACCUAACGAGAACAACCAAUCCUCAUCGCCUUUGUUCGAAUGGGUUCGAAUUCAGAAGCCAUUGAUGCCCUUUUGCAGCAGAAGCUCUUAAGUGGCGGGGACGACGAGGCACUCAAGAUCAUGCGCAGCCUUUCACCACUGAGUGGAAGUUCAUGAUGGAGAGGAUUCUCGUUGAAAUGGGUGAAAACGAUGGGGACAAUGAACACGUAUUGCUAAUCCCAACUUUUCACACGGUAUUAGAGGUGAGGCGCGAAGGCUCGUCCCACUUAAUCUCAUUAAAGCUAGUCCUUUAACCAUGCCAAACAAGGAACUAGGACAAUAACUAAGCCAAUCCUAGCUAAGGAGGCCAAACAACCGGGAAGGGCUCAUUUGGAACUUCCUUUAGAAUGGAUAAAAGCAUUUUUAGAUAACCAAGGGCACUUUCUUUUUUAGGAAGCACGAUUACUCAUAAGUGAUUUUAUACUCAUUAAUCUUUUCUUAUUUUCACAUUAGAUGGUUUCAAACUGUGGACCUAACCUACUCGUGCAAGUCACCCUACGUCCACCCUCAAUACUAGGCUCAUAAGUGCUUUUAUAAGCCACAAGCAUUUUUAAGUUUUUCUACCAAGCGUUGAAGAAGUUUUUUGGUUAUCCGCAAGCGCUUUAAAGCUCACUUGGAACUACUUGUUUAGAAAGCGCUUUGGCUACAAGUGCUUAUUAAACACCAGUUGAGGGUUUGGUAGUCAGGUUUACUGUUAGUUCUUUUGUGUUAUUAAUGCCUAGUUCUUCCAAAAUGAUAACAUAAAGAUUCCCAAAAAGUUAACCUUGUAUUUAGUUCUUACAGUUGCUCAUCUUCAUUCUUGCAGGACAGAAGAACAUGGUUCAAGGGAUUUGUGAGUUGUUCAUUUUCACUUAUAUUCUUGGUUUUAAUUGUUAAUUUUGAAUCUCAAGUUUUUGUUUAUUGUUGAAUUUGAUUCUAGUGCAUUGCACCUGUAAGGCCUCAAAACUGUCUUCCACUCUAUUGCCUAGGGGCAAGGAAACAUAAUGGGGUGUUCUCAAUUUGAACCUCAAUUAGUAAUUACUUUCACCAAAAAAGUUAAAAGAGAAGUUCCUUUAAAUUGACAUUUAAUGGAUGUUUUAAUGUGGACGGUAGUGGGUGCCAUGUUGGACUGAUGAAAUGUCUUUUAUCAAUGUCAGCCUUGGGAGGAUAGAAUUCAGGCUGCACAUGAGCAAGGCACCCUUGUUCUGCUCCAGAAUUUGGAUCCAGCAUACACUUCAGCACAAGUGGAGGUAACAGUUGCAUUGGAGCUUUAGUUGCAAACACUGUUAUUACUUGGAGUAUAGAUUUUGAACUAAAUGUACUAAUGCAGUAUGUAGUUGUGUGUUUACUCGUCCAAUUUU